rnacentral:lncRNA from 1 species
AAAAAAAACUAACCCCAUUGAUGAUGCGAGAUCCUUCCGCAAUGACUCUCGGCCUCGCCGAUUCCUUCGUAGGAGGAGGAGCAUCGAAACCUGGUGGCAGAUCAGCAAAGAAAUCAUCGAAAUCCAGAAUAGGGACCUCGCUCGAACCACUCCCAUCGCCGUAAGCAAGGUUUGGAUCCCAUCCUGGAAGCAUAGAGUCAUCCAUCGAAAAUUCUAUGUCGCCAAGAUCGACAUCUUUUCCCUUCCAAGAGCUCGACUCCGGCACAGCUCUUGGAGCUUCGACGGGAUUCUGGUCGUCAGGUUCGGAGUCACUUCCCGUGUUCGCAGCCGAAGCAGGUCCGGGUUGCACGAAUCUCAAUGCCCUCUGAACCCUCUUCGGCGUAAAAGAAGUCCAGAAGAAAGGACCGUUCCUGAGAAGAUCUCUCACCGCAAUGAUGUCCUCAGGGAACGGAGCAAGAGGGUUGAUGAAGGGACGAUCAUUCGGCAACCUCCGGAACAGUGGAAUGCAACUCUCUUCGACGGACGCAGCGUCUAUACGAACAAAGAAAAAGAACUUCUUCCACGAGUUGAAGUUCGAAAUGAACUUCUUAACCACUGACAUAAAUUUCUGAGGGACCAACCUAUGCUUAUCCGUAUCUGUGACAAGUUGGAGCCUCAAAAGCGCUUCAUAAUGAUCGACGGAAAGGGAAAGACCAUGCUCGUAGCUUAGGAUCAGGAUCCCAAUGAGAUGCUGAAUGGCGAGGGGAGUCAACUGACUUAUCGCAACUUCGAAACGGUCCAACACUCGGACGAGAAUUUCGGGUAUUGGGAACCAUAGACGACAACGCAUGACGAACACCUCAUAGCAAGUGAAGUAACCCUCUGGGGGGCUGUUAGCGCAUUCCCCGCGGCAGGGAACCCGGAACUCCACAGCAUCCGAGAUAUGGUAGAACGAUCGCAUGAUCGAGAGAAACUCGUCGGUACUCCUGCUUGCAUCCCCUUUCUCGACUCCACGAUGGAUCAGGACCGGGAACGACUUCUCCUUGGGAGGAGUCAUCGAACCGUAAUGAGCAACCCACCAUGCCUCGUUCUCGGCGGGAUGUACCGAGUGAGGCACGAACUCCAUCUUCGGAACAAUGAGCUCUUCAUAAGCACUCGCGGACGAAGACCCUUUUUCGCAACAUUUUUCUUGCUCGACAUCUUUACACUUCUCUUGAGAAAAUAGAGGAAAAGGAUGGAUAGAAAAGAAGAUUUUCUUAAGAAAGAUCUUAGACAAGAAAGUGAAAAAAUUGUGAAACAAGUUACCUCCCUUCUUAUAGGCAUGAGGAUUUACUAUUCAAGCUCGGACUUUCGGAUAUUAAUUCCAUCCAUCACGCCUAACUUACCAAACAUGCCUAACCGCACGCUAGGAUCCUACGGUGCAUGAUCCUAACGGGCUGGGGGGCUAACUGUUGGGGUCAAAAACGGUCACGACGGAAUUACCACCCGAAAAUCCUCGGAGAUCGUAUUUCCGAAAGAGAUAGUAAAAAGAUGAUACAAAUUUCGUAAAGUAUAACCAAUACAAAGUUUUUACGAAGAAGUAUCCUUUGAGAUUCAAACCGAACAAACCAAGCUCGAUCACCACGCAUACACGCCGUCCGGUCGCUAUACAGCAACCAAACCCGAGCCAAGCUCGGUCGCUACGUAGCGACCGAGCGUCCGUCUCGCUCGGUCGCUACGUAGCGACCGAGCUCGAGCCAAAGCUCGGUCGCUACGUAGCGACCGAGCGAUCGUCCCGCUCGGUCGCUACGUAGCGUCCGUGUUCGAGCCAAAGCUCUGUCGCUACGUAGCGACCGAGCCAUCGUCUAACGACCGAGCUCGAGCCAAAGCUCAGUCGCUACGUAGCGACCGAGCGAUCGUCCCGCUCGGUCGCUACGUAGCGACCGAGCGAUCGUCCCAUUCGGUCGCUACGAAGCGACCGAGCUCAAGCCAAAGCUCGGUCGCUACGUAGCGACCGAGCACUCGUCCCGCUCGGUUGCUACGUAGCGACCGGGCUCGAGCCGAAGUUCAGUCGCUGUGUAGCGAUUGAACUCUUCCGCACAUCGACAGACAUCAAUCCAUUCAUUCUAGUCAAAUCUUCGAACGCUAUCUCCCGAAGACUGUAGCAAGCUCAGUCCAUGUUUUCCGCUAUUCCAACUCAUCGAUCAAACUUCGCGGAUGAGAAACCGCGGAAAAUUCGUAGUAAACAUGUCGAGUCGGAAGACGGUCCAAAGGGACCUAAAACACGACUCGAGGCCCAUCCUACGAUUUCCUAACCCAAAGCCCGUAAACUGCAGCACGGUUUACGCUUGGCCCACAAGGAAGGAUAAAUGUCAAGUUUCCGCGGAUAAAUAAGGAAGUUUUGAAGAUAAUUGUGAAGAUCGGGAAAAAUGGAAUAUCUCCAUUUUUAUGCUAUGACGGCUUAAGGGCAGAAGAGUAAAAGCGUAAACCGACCUUGGAGCUAGUAUAUAAGGAGUCCUAGGCGAGGAGCAUGGAAGAGAACUUUUUCAGAGCAAACUUAGCACUUAGAGCAAUUUAGGCAAUUUUCUGUUUUUGUUAUUUCGAGCUGCGACUCAAUUAGGUUUAGCCGUCUUAGGGUUUUCCUAGUUUCCUUAUUUAAACGGAAAUCGACGGUGUAAAUUUCGGUUCCCACAAGAGCUUUGGCCGCAAAGGCUGUCAGCGAGUUACUUAGUUCUAGCGGCCUAAAAGCUCAAACCUAGUUGAGUCGCAGCUCGAUAACAAAAGACGAAAAAGAUACGUAAAAGGUUUUUGAUUGAUUUCGGACUGAACCUUGUUAAAGGCUGCCUACGUACCCCUUUCGAGGAUCAAGCCGAACGUAGUUCAGUUGAUAGAACUGGACAAGAGAUCGAACUGCCUGGGCGAGUUUGUCUAGUAAUUGAGUGCCAGUCAUGGAAACCUAACUUGUUGAGAAUAAAGCCUAAAGUUUCUAAGUGCAGAGAAUUCCGAGUCUAAAAAGUUCUCUCCCCAUGCCUCUCGCCUAGGACUCCUUAUAUACUCGCUCCUAGGUCGGUUUACGCUUUUACUCUUCUGCCCUUAAGCCGUCAUAGCAUAAAAAUGGAGAUAUUCAAUUUUUUCCGAUCUUUGUAAUUAUCUUCAAAAUUCUGUAUUUAUCCGCAGAAACUUGAUUACUAUCUUCCCUUGCGAAUCAAGCGUAAACCGUCCUAUAGUUUACGGGAUUUUGGUUAAGAAAUCGUAUGAUGGGCCUCGAGUCGUGUCUUAGGUACCUUUGGGCCGUCUUCCGACUCGAAGCGUUUACUGCGACUUCUUUCGAUAAAGAACGAACUUUCGGCGGUUUUAUCCGCAAAGUUUGAUUGAAGAUUUAGAAUGGCGGAAAACAUGAACUAAGUUUGCUACGGUCUUCGGGAGAUAACAUCAAAGGAUAGACGAGAGUGCAUCGACUGGUGUCGAAUCGACGUUUUGGAAGAGCUCGGUCGCUAGGUAGCGACCAAGCGAAAUAGAGACGCUUGGUCGCUACAUAGCGACCGAGCGGGACGGACGCUUGGUCGCUACGUAGCGACCGAGCUUGGCUCGAGCUCGGUCGCUACGUAGCGACUGAGCGGAACGGACGCUCGGUCGCUACGUAGCGACCGAGCGGAAUGGACACUCGGUCGCUAUGUAGCGACCGAGCUUGGCUCGAGCUCGGUCGCUACGUAGCGACCAAGCGGAAUGGACGCUCGGUCGCUACGUAGCGACCGAGCUUGGCUCGAGCUCGGUCGCUGCAUAGCGACUGAGCGGGACGGACUCUCGGUCACUACGUAGCGACCGAGCUAGGUUCGGGCUCGGUCGCUAUGUAGCGACCGAGCUGUGUGCAUGCUUGGUCGCCGCGUAUCGAUCGAGCUUGGCUUGUCCGUGGUCCGAUUUCCAUACCCGAGCUUGUCCGUGGCCGAUUUGGAUACAUGUCCGUUGCCCUCGGACAAUGGGUAUUUAGUGAUUCGAUUGAGAUUUGAACAAGAUUUUACCGCAAGGCUCUUCGUAAAGAUAUCUUUACGAAGAUUAGUUUUCGUAAAAACGUUCAUGCUGAUUUUUACGGACUUUCAGACAUUGAUUCCGUUGUGCCGAUUUUGACCCCAAGAAAUCACAUGGGACUGCGAUAAAGAAAGUGCUGCGUUACCUACAAGGGAGCAUCUCAAAUGGGUUAGUGUUCGAUAAUUCGGCAACAAAGCUACCAAAGAUCGUGGGAUAUAGCGACAACAGCUAUAAUGUUGAUCCAGACGAUGGUAAGAGCACAACCGGUCACAUAUUUUAUCUAGGAGAAAGUCCCAUUACGUGGUGCUCUCAGAAACAAGAGACAUUCGCCUUGUCAUCAUGUGAAGCUGAAUUCAUGGCGGGCACAGAAGCGGCAAGACAAGCAAUAUGGCUUCAAGACCUAUUAAGUGAAGUAACCGGCCAGCAAAGUGAAAAGGUGGUGAUUCAUAUUGAUAAUCAAAGUGCAAUUGCUUUAACAAGAAAUCCAGUGUUUCAUGGGAAAAGUAAGCACAUACAUAGAAGAUAUCAUUUUAUUAGAGAAUGUGUGGAGAACGGGCAAGUGGAAGUUGAGUAUGUACAAGGAGAUAAGCAGAAGGCUGACAUACUAACAAAAAGCUUUAGGUCGAGUUCGGUUCAAGGAGAUGAGAGACUACAUUGGCAUGAAGAAUAUGGCGAUGAAGAACUUUGAGCUUAAAGGGGAGAAUGUUGGAUUAAGCUCAAAGAUAGCUUGAGAGCUAAGCUACCUAAUCCUAUAGAGUUAUAUAUAAGGAGAUGCAAAGUACGUUGCAUAACUUAUGAGUUUGAGAGCUUAAGGUUUUUGAGAUAGUUUUCCUUAAGAGAUUAAUAAGAAGAGUAUCUUAUACAAGUUGAGUUCAUAGCUUGUGUUCGUGAGGCAUUGAUAUCGUGUGACUUGAUUUUUAUAGGCUGGAGUAGGUUAAAAUCUUCCAUAUUCAGAAAUAUGGAAGGUUCUCCUUAUCGGAAGAUUUCUUUUUUCUCGUGGGAAGGGGGCGGUCCCUGGGACCGGACCCAGAAUACUUCAUAGCGGGGAACCGGGGUGCCUCCUAGCGGGGACCCAGAGGCCGGUGUCUUGUCUGGGGUCUGGAGAAAUUCAAUACCUGAGUAUUUUUCCCCAACAUUUUUCCAUUAAGGAAAGUUGUUUUCACAUCCAUUUGCCAAAUCUCAUAGUCAUAAUGAGUGGCAAUUGCUAGGAGAAUCCGAAUGGAUUUAAGCAUUGCAACUGGUGAAUAGGUUUCAUCAUAGUCAAUACCAUGAAUUUGUUUGUAACCUUUAGCCACCAAUCUAGCUUUCUAUAUCCGUAUAUAUCCAUGUCAGUUUUCUUCUUGAAAAUCCAUUUACACUCAAUGGUUUUAACACCAUCAGGUAAAUCAACCAAAGUCCACACUUUAUUUACUGACAUAGAGUCCAUUUCGGAUUCUGCGGCUUCUAGCCAUUUAUCGGAGUCUGGGCCCAUCAUAGUUUCCUCAAAGGACGUAGGUUCAUCACUCUCUAUUAUCAAUAAAUCACGAUGAUCUGUCACCCAAACCCCAUAUCUAACAGGUUCGUGACGUGUCCUUUCAGACCUACGUACUUCAGGUUCCAUAGGUGUAGAUUCAACGACUCUUCGUAAUUCUAAUUGAUCAUCUUCCUGAGAGGAUGAAACAUUUUUCUAUGUUUUUCGAACUUCUUCGAGUUGUACUUUACUCCCAUUGUUCUUCUUAGAAAGAAACUUUCUCUCAAGAAAAACGCCACUACGAGCAACAAACACUUUGUUCAGUGGAUUUGUAAAAGUAAUAACAUUUGGUUUCGUUGGGAUAACCAACGAAGAAGCAUUUUUCAGAUUUUGGUCCAAGCUUAUCUGUAAACAUACGUUUGACAUAAGUAUCAACCCCAAAUUCUUAGAAAAGACAAAUUUGGAACCUUUUGUCCACAUCUCAUAUGGAGUCUUUUCAACUGAUUUUGAUGGACAUCUAUUCAGCGUAAACGCAGACGUUUCUAGAGCGUAUCCCCAAAAGGAUGGUGGAAGAUCUUCAUGACUCAUCAUAGAUCGAACCAUAUCUAAUAAAGUUCAAUUUCUCCUUUCUAACACACCAUUCCAUUGUGGUGUUCCUGGAGGAGUGAGUUUUGAAACAAUUCCACAUUCUCUCAGAUGAACAUUAAACGCUUGACUCAAAUAUUCUCGACCUCGAUCAGAUCGAAGAGCUUUUACUUUCUUGUCAAGCUGAUUUUGUACUUCAUUCUGAAAUUCUUUGAACUUUUCAAAAGAUUCAGACUUAUGGUUCAUUAGAUAAACAUAACCAUAUCUACUGAAGUCGUCAGUAAAUGUAAUGAAGUACUGAUAGUUUCCUCUAGCAUGUAUACUCAUUGGUCCACAUACAUCAGUAUGUAUAAGUUCUAACAAGUCUUUGGCUCUUUCACCGUGUCCAGUAAAAGGAGUCUUAGCCAUUUUACCCAAUAAACAAGAUUCACAUUUUUCAUAUGAUUCAUAAUCAAAUGAGCUCAAAAGUCCAUCACUAUGAAACUUUUGAAUGCGUCUAUCAUUUAUGUGGCCCAAACGACAAUGCCAAAGAAAAGUCUGAUUCGUGUCGUUAGACUUGAAUCUUUUGGUACUGAUAUUAUAGACAUGCAUGCUUUGGUCUAGAAUAUAAAGUUCAUUCUCUAAUGGAUCGUUACCAUAAAAGAUAUCAUUACGAUCAAAGGAACAACACUUGUUUUUGAUCGAAAACUGAAAUCCUUCCAAAUACAAACAAGGAAUGAAAAUAAUAUUCCUACUUAUAGCAGGUACAUAGUAGCAAUUCUUAAGUUCUAAAACCAAGCCUGAAGGUAAAGACAAGUCAAAUAUUCUCACGGCUAAUGUAGCAACUCUUGCUCCAUUUCCAACUCUAUUGUUGCUUAGGCGAUUCAUAUUCAUACAUAUAUGAGCACCACAGCCGGUAUCCAAUACCCAUGAAAUAGACCCAGAAAUAGUAACAUUUACUUCUAUAACAUAAAAUAUCUCUAGACGAUGUUUCAAAAGUCUUUUUCUUUUUCAGAUCUUCCAAGUAGGGUUUAAACUCUUGUUUGAGAACAAUUCUCGGGUUUCGAUACCAGUGGAGGAAAUUUGAUCCAUUUAAUUUGUCUUUCUGAAGGGCAUAUUGGAAUGAAAAUGGGUUGUUAGGAGUUAACAUUGCUGGAAUAGAAGAAUAGCGAAUAUUAAUAUGAUGUUCAAGAUUAGAGAAAUCUCAACAGUUAAGAAAACUCAUAUUAUAUUCAAACAAUUUCUUCAAAUGAAUAUAAUAAUCCAAGAUCCAUAUUUCACUAAAAUUCGAGUGAGCUUUGGCUCAUCGCCCAAAUGUUUAGCUAUUUAGGUAAGCAACAUUUUGCUAACUAUAUCAAAUAUAAUUUUUUGUUGUCAGACGACAUCUUAUGUCUUAUCCAACCUAUGUCUCUAAGCCCAAAACCGUUUUGAUAGCCUAGUCAAGUAAACCAAUCUUAUAUUCAUAUGGUAACUGUUACCAUCUACCUCCCUUAUGUAAUUGCAGACACCUUACUUUGGCAAGCCCAUCUUACAACAAAACAAGCCUUGAUAAUUGAUAAGAUUGGGUAGACAUCAAAAGUACUUGAAAUUAAUUAGGAACAAAUUUUAAUUUAAUUUUAACUUAUAUUUAAAAUUUAUAUCUAAUAUAAAUAUAAAUAUAACUAAUACAUAUCUUAUAUGUAUUUUAAUUGAAUUAAAUAAUUAAUUUAAUCUAAUUAAUAUAAUUAAUUAUUUAUAUAUUUGAUUUUAUAAUUUAAUCUAAUUAAAAUCUGAUCAAACGACCAAACCAAUUGUAUUAAACAACCUAAACCAACCGUUGGUUCAAUUGGUAAUAUACACAUCUCAUAUGUGUUUUAGGUUAAUUUAGAAACACGCAUUCAAAUAUUACAAUAACUAGGUGUUUUGUCCGCACACGCAUGCUUAAUUAUUUUACAAAUAUUUAUUAGUUUAUUUUAUAUUAAUUCGAAAACCAGCAUAAUAACUUUAUACAAAUUUAGUUGAUUAAUAUUUAAUUAUGAAUUUUUUAUAUGUUAUUUUCCUAAAUUUUAUAAUUGAAAACAAAAAUUAAGAUAACAACACAAUAUAUAAGAAUUAUCUUAUUUAAAAAAAAUCUAAUAUUAUGAAUAAGAUUUUGUUUUUAAUAUGUAAUUAAGAUAACAACAAAAUAUAUAAGAAUUAUCUUUUUAAACAUUAAUAAUAAUAUUAUUGAUAGAAAUUCAUUUUUGAUUAUAUAGUUAAUUAUAUAUAAAAUUCAUUAAGGGUCUUAAAUUUUAUAAUUAAAAAUAUGUUUUAAGAUAACAACAAAAUAUAUAAAAAUUAUCUUUUUAAAAAUUAAUAAUAAUAUUAUUAAUAAAAAUUCAUUUUUUAUUAUAUAGUUAGUUAUAUAUAAAUUCAUUAAGGGUAGUAUAGAUAUUAACCACUCUGUCUUUUAAUGUGAAACUUUUAUAAUUGAAAAAAAAAAUUAAGAUAACAACACAAUAUAUAAGAAUUAUCUUAUUUUUUAAAAAAAUCUAAUAUUCUAAAUAAAAUUUCGUUUAUAAUUAUGUAAUUAAUUAUAUAUAAAAUUCAUUAAGGGUUUUAAAUUUUAUAAUUAAAAAUAUGUUUUAAGAUAACAACAAAAUAUAUAAGAAUUAUCUUUUUAAAAAUUAAUAAUAAUAAUAUUAAUAGAAAUUCGCUUUUGAUUAUAUAGUUAAUUAUAUAUAAAUUCAUUAAGCAUAGUAUAGAUAUUAAUCGCUCUAACUUUUAACGUGAGAGCUCCGUUGUAAAAAUAAUAUGUUUUAAGAUAACAACAAAAUAUAUAAGAAUUAUCUUUUUAAAAAUUAAUAAUAAUAUUAUUAAUAGAAAUUCGUUUUUGAUUAUAUAGUUAAUUAUAUAUAAAUUCAUUAAGAGUAGUAUAGAUAUUAAUCACUCUAACUUUUAAUGUGAGAACUCCGUUGUAAAAAUUUACUUCGCAAAUAAUAAUAUAGACUAGUAAUCAAUGCAGUAGUUGAGAUAUUUUGUAGUUGUGUAUGCAUAUGAUAAUGCGAAUUACAGUGAUCAGAAUUUUAAGAAUCUCGUGAGCAGUCAUAUAUCAAACCCAUAAAAAUACAUUUGUAAUAAUUAUUACGAAACAAUCAAUGUUUAAUAAAAAAAAUAACACACAUAUUUUCGAAGUUUAGUUAUACUUAUAUAUCUGACGUGUAUUAUUACUGUGUUAUUUAUAUAGAUUUUUUAUUUUUGUAAAAAAGAUUAAAAAGAUGUGGAAAAAGCUGUAGAUUGAGAUGGAUAAAUUAUCUUAGAUCAGAUCUCAAGCGCGGGAACAUAACUCUAGAAGAAGAAGAACUCGUUGUUAAAUUGCAUUCCACAUUGGGAAACAGGUACAAUUCUUAUUUAGCUAUUUCCAAAAAUUUCGAAUUUACUUUUGGAUUAAUAAUGAUUGAAAUCGAUCGGUCAAAUAAGCAAGGCUUAGUGUUAAACUAACUCUCUUAGUUUAAAGAUCUUUAUGUGAACAAUUUACAGUAGAUAAUAAAAGUUACAGUGAUAAAAUAAACUAUUCAAUGUUGUUGAACCGUCUUUUUAAUUGUCCAUUGUGGGUCUCCCUCUUGAAGCUUGUAUAACCCUUGGUUGAUUUCUUGUCAGACUAUUCUCUGAACUCCUAUUCUCUUUUAGCUGAGGCAAACAACAUGUACUCUCUAAUAAAUGUACACUUCACUUUAUCACAUACGCCCUAACUGGAACGUAUACAUAUCCAUGUGAUAUUCUAAAUAUUAGAAAAGGUUUUACUCUCAAGGUUCUAAAAUAUUUUUAGAAUCUUGAAAGUAUAACCCCCUAGUUAGCAUAUUCAAAAUCUCCUAAAGUAUGUGAAUAACUUUUUCAAAAAAAAAUAAAAUUUAGUUCUUCAGGAAAAAAACUUCUUCAAAAAAUAUCUGAAUAACUUGAGUCACUGUCACCGUUAUUGUUGACAUUGCUCGAGUGAUAUUCUCGUAUAUUAUAUUAUUUUGAAAAACAAUUUGUACAUCAUAUUCAUAAUUUUAGUAACAAUUUAUUUGAUUAAUAUUUAAUUAUAUAAUUUAUGUUUUAAAUUUUUUACUAAAUUACUCUUUCAUAUAACAAUAUAAUAUAUAUUUAAAUUUUUUUUAAUUAUAUUUUUAAAUUUUGAUUAAUUCAAUGUUCUAUUUUUAAUUAUAUAAUUAAGAAUUUUGUUUGAUUAAUAUUUAGUUAUAUAAUUAAUGUUUUUAUCUUUUUACUAAAAGACUUUUUCAGAUAACAAUACAAUAUAUACAGAAAUUAUCUCUUUUUAAAAUUAUAUUUUCAGAUUUUAGAUAAUUCUUAUUAUUAUUAAUUUUAAUCAAUUAUCUAAUCAAAUAAAUUAAUUUUUUUUUUUUAAUUUAGUUACACAUUUUAUUCAUUAAGGGUAUAAACGAUAUUAACCACUCUAACUUUUAACGUGAGAGCUCGAUUCCAAAAAUUUACUUCGCAAAUAAUAGUAUAGAUACGAUUGCCUCUUGAAAUUAUAUGUAUGCAACAUGCAACAUCUGUACAACAUGAACAAGAUCAUCACAUGACAACGCGUAUAUCUAGAUAUUCUUAAUCGGUUAAUUAUAAUAAUUGGAUUGAUCACAUCAAACAAAACUACAAUAUAACUUCUUUAAAUUAAUACUCUAUAAAUUAAUAUACACUAAAAAUAUCUAUAAAAUAAUAUAAUCUUAUAGUUCCAAAUUGAGUUUUUGGUUCAAUUAGUAUAUCGAUAAAUUAAUAUCUUUAUAAAUUAAUUAAAAAAAAUUAUAGUUUUGGUUUAGUACCAACAAUAUUAGUUUUUUUUUUUAACUCUUGUGAUAUUUUAUAAAAUUAAUGAUAAAUCACACACACUAGUAGAACCAAAACAACAAAAACAAGAACAUAUUUAAUUCCACGCAGCCGACAAUCAAACGAGAGUUUCCAUAGAACCUGAAUAAGCACGAGUUGAAACCAUAAGAACCAGAGACUUGAGGAAACCACAAACCAUAUAGGCCGAAACCACAAUCUCACAGGAACCAACCCGGCAGAAACUACAACGCCAAAACUGAAGCAGACACAGAGACAAAAGCCACUAAUAACACAUCUGCAACAAACCGCCAGCGACCAUGAAAAAUCAAAGCACAAGAUCAAAACUUGAAACUCGAAGAGGGGACAACAACUAAAAGGAUCAGCAGCUUAUACACGCGGACCCAACAAUAUUAGUUUAUAGAAGUUUAAAUGUAUUAUGAAUUAACAAAUAACCAUGCAUCUUUUAAUAAAGAGAAGCACUAACGCUUAAUGGUUAUUUUAACAACAUAUUGUUCUUACGCACGAAUCAGAUUACGCUUCUGCGAAAUUCAUAACUACGCCAAUUUAAUUAUCAUUGAAACUAUAAGAUUAUUUAUUUAUACCAAAUUAUCGACUAAAUAAGAUCUGAUUUCAGUAUUAAGCAAGUAAGCUCUGAUACUACUGUAGGAAUUCAUACAGGUUUAUAACGUUUUAUAAAUCUACUUAUGAAUUCAGUUUGCCUAGAAUCUCAUGUCACUAAUGAAAUAAACUUAGAUCUUAGAGUUUCGAAUAUAUCUGGUUAUUCUGCAGCGGAAGGACGAAUAAACCAAAUCGAAAUUUCUAGCACUACAAACGUCGUGCCUCUAUUGUAUCCACACACACAAACUAGAUCGAUACGGGAUGCUAGUACUGUUGAGACUUCUCUCAAGAACUCACGAACACUUCAUAUAUAUAAUUAAGUUGCAGCCAAGGGAAAAAUGUCCACAUAUCAUAAUAUGUGUUUGGUAUAUACAUGUAACCUAAAUCAAUUAGGUUUGCUUAUGGGCUCAGCCCAUACUUAACAUUGCUCUUUUAAUAAUAACUAAAUUUUGAUCUGUGGUUAAAGCGCGAAAUUUGAUUCUUUGUAAAUAUAUUAUUUUAUAGUUUAUAAAUUUUAUAUUAUAUUAUGGUUUAUGAAUCAUUAUUACUGUUUUAAAUUUGUAUAAAAAGAAAUAUAGAUGUAUUUCAUUAUGUAUUUUAUAUUAUACUCUGAUUUUUAUUUACUAUACUGAAUCAAUUUUCAAUAAUAUUAUAAAUUUUUAUAUAACUGUCUCUCAAUAUAAAGUUUUUUGGCGGUGUAAUAUUUUUUAUUUAUGAAACACCUAAUUUAUAAAAUUCGAAUUGGAUUUUUUUUUUGCAAGAAAAUAAAUAUAUGGAUUUAAUAUAUUGAUUGGUCUUUGUAACCAUUUUAUAUUUGUAACUCAUUUUUAAAUUUUAUUUGAAUACACUUAAAAUACAAUUUGUAUUAUGUUAUAUUUAUAUAUGGGUCAUAUGUGUAUGUAUGGUCAAUAAAGUAAUAUAGAAUAUAGAAUUUUCAGAAUCAUUGAUAAGUAUUAAUUUCAAAUUCAUUUUACGUGGUAGAAUAUAGAAUAUUAUUAGAAUAAUUGAUAAUCAUUAACUUUAUAAUUUUCUCAUAUUUUUUGUCAAAUAUUAUCUAGUGUGGAAUCAAAUCUUUUGAAAGUACAAUAUCUAUAUAAAUUUUUCUACAGUUUCAAAAUAUAUAUGUAAUAUCUAUAAAAAAAUACAAUAUCUAUAUUAAUUUAUCUACAGUUUCAAAAUAUAUAUGUAAUAUCUGUUUUCAACACUUUUUAGUGAUGUUUUUCUAUUACUAUGACUAUCAAACAUGCUAUUGUAUUUUUUUGAUUGAUGUCUAAUAUCAAUACUAAAAUGAAAACGUUCAUAUUUAUUUAUUGACUAUAUUAUGCAUAUCAUGUAGUUGUAUAUUAAUAAUAACAUCAAUAGUUCAGAAUAUUAUAGUCAUAUAUUAAUUAUAAGUAAUAUCAACUUACGAUUUGAAGCAUGUAUUAAUUUGUUUUGAUGUUUGUCUUUUAAGCUAAUCAAUAAAUUUCUAAAUUGUCCAACAUGAGUAUAUAUUGUGAGAUAUGAACAUUAAUAGGGGAAGUUAGGUUUAGUUAGUGUCGUUUGUUAGUUUUAGGAAAUUUUGGUUUUUAAUUAAUUAGGAAAAUCGUAUAUGAUAUUUCGAAUAUUUUCCAACUUUUAGUUAAAUUUAAUUACAGUGGCAUUAUCUUGUAAAUAUUUAGAAAAACUCAGAGUUAAUUCAAAUUUGUACUUUUGUUUUAAUAGAUUAAACUAGAUUUUGACCCGCACGUCCGUGCGGGUGUGAAUUUUUCGUUUAGAUUCAAUAUCUUUGGUAAAAUAUAUUUUAAAUAGGUAUACUUGUUUAAUAUAAUUUUUUUUACGAUAAAUUUAUUCAUUUGUUUCUAUUCAUGAAUUGCAUAAGUCAUUUGUUUAUAUAGUUUCACAGGAUUUUCAUUUUUUCCUCAUUUUUGAUACCAUUAUUCAUGCUUAUAUUUUCUGAAUUUAUUGGCAAAGUGGGUCACUUUCAAGUUUGUAAUUCAGGCUUUGGGUCGCACGAAGUUUUUAUUCGGUAAAUGGGUCGCGUGUAUUUGUGACCCUAUGCAACUUGAAAGCAAAAGACGAAACGAUCCUUUCUCCAGCUGCCGAAUAUCGGAAGUGCCACUCCCCUCCCGAAAAACCCGGGUCAUUUACUUCGUCGUCUUACCUACACUGGGCGGUAAACGACCUUCUGGUAAAUUCUUUUACUGUGAAAGACUGAGAGGACUGUUCGACUUUCGACCAAGAUCCACCUGAAUUCCCUAGCCUGUCGCAGCCGUUGGAGAAUCUUCCCCGGCGAUUAUUAGACCCCAGACGACGCCUGCAGUGAUGACGAAGUCCAAGCAAAGUGAGACAACCGUUCGUCGCCAGACCAGAUCGGCUGGCGAGGAGCUCCCGGAGUGCCCUCCUGCGAAACAGCAGCGCUAUCCGGGUAUGUGUUUCGUCCACCUCCAUUCAUGUGGAUUCCGUCUUUGCAUGUCAUCGGAGAGAUUCUUUAGUAAUGGUUUUAUGUCCUCGCUGUGAAAAGCUAUUGUCUCUUGAUUAGUCGACACCGUUUUGUGUUUGAAGCCAUUUAUUUGAGUUAUCGAUUUUUGUUCGAUUUGUAGAUUCUGGAUCUGAGGACGGCCCCGGUGGUGGUGAUUCCUCAGGGGGACAAUUCUCUGAUGGGGUGCCCUCAUCUGUGUUUCCCUGGAGACUGUUCACAUAUGGUGCGUACCCGACAAAGUUGCGAGUAAACAUCUACUCAAAAUCACACGUCAUCGGUUCUGUUGCUGCUGCUCUAAAGGGGACGGAUGCGAUGGACACUUUGAUGGCUUCCCAGUUUCGGGGGGUGUUUGAGCUUCCCGUUGUACGCUGCCAGAACUCUACGAAGCUCAUCGGCUGCCUCCUCAGCCGACAGCUAGUUACGGCUCGCAGACACGAGUUCUGGUUCACCUUCGGGCCCCAUCCACUCCGUUUCUCGCUGGAUGAAUUCCGAGACGUUACAGGUUUGAACUGCGGAGCUUUCGAUGUUCAGGAUUCGGAAGCAUCUGAAUCUGUUCCUCCGACGAUGUGGAACAAGCUCUUUGAUACGACUGUCGGUAAGAUAACAGUCCUGAGUGUACUGCGCAUGUUGGGAAAUAAAUAUCUAGCUGUGGAGAAACGGCUCCGUUUGGCUCUGAUCGCGUUGGUUGAUGGUGUUCUCUGCCCCAGUAGCAAAGAUCUUAAACUAACGCCCAGGUACGUUGAGAUGCUGUCCGACGUUGAGAGCUUUUUGGCGUAUCCGUGGGGUCGAGAGUCGUUCUUGACGACCGUGCCGCGUUUCCUGCCUCCCCUUGUUGUCGCACCACGUUCGAACCCACUGCAAGUGAUGCGUGAUCGGCUAUCGCAAAAGACAACAGUUUGCUAUGGGUUUCCACUUGCUCUGUAGUUGUUUCUUAUUUGAUGUUGUGCCUCUGUUAUUGGAGAAAAUUCCCGACGCAGGGAACACCGCCACUUUCAUUGAUUCCCCCGGAGCUUGCUCUUCGCCGUCGACUAUUCUCACAGUCAACGAAAUAGUCGCUGUCGAGGAAGACCCAGACGUAAGUUUGUUUUCCCUUUGUUUUAAAUACAGCGGAUGCAAAAAUACAGUGAAGUAAAACGGUUACGGCUUUUGGUGUUAACGUGUCUUCCAUUGCUUUUUGCCUGUCUACAGCUCUCUGUCCACUUCACCGUGAUUCCUGAUGAGGAACGGCUGAUGUUGCUGGACCAGAAUGAAGAUAGGCAACUAACUUCUUUGGUGCAGAAGUUGCUUUGUGGGGAAACAUUCAAACCUGAGGAUUUUCCAGGUGGUGACGAGUCGUUUUCCCCCAAGUUAAAGGUUCCAGACGCUGCGCAGGAGGAGGGAGCUUGUCCUACUCCCGUACACCAGAGAAAUUUGCGACCGCGUAAUGCAGUGCCCAUUGAAGUUGAAGAGAUUUCUUCUUCUGGAAACAGCGGAGAAGGGAAUCAUCAAUGCUCAGAGAGGUGUACGCAUGAAAAUUUAAAACAUUGGAUAUCCCAGCGGUUUGAGGGGAUGGAGAACAAUAUUGAAGAGUUGCGGACAGUGAUUUGCAAGAGUUUGGGUCUGCCCGAGGGGAGCAAACGCAAUGCUAGGAAGAGGAAAGCGAUCGAUGAUCCGCAGGUGUGUCGCACUCCGUCUCCUGAUGAUAGUAUUGUGAGUGAAACCAAGGGGCGAAACAGGAAGGGGAAAAAAAGAAAAACGGUUGGCACUCGGCUUGUUGUGAAAAAACGUUGCCUCGGCGUCGAUCUGGAGGUGGAAAGGAGGUGACAAAGGUUGUACGCCGAAGUUAUUUUUUCACAUAAUAUACAAAUUCGUGGUCAUUUACUGUCCUGACACCUUUGCCGUUUUCCAGGAAGUGAGAAGAAACAACCCACCCUCAUCAGAGAGAGAUAGUGGUCACCAGAAUGAUGAUGAUCAUGCAAACGAAAACGAGUCUGACAAUGCUCGUUUUCCACCAUCCGGCGGAAACAAAGGCGAUCAGGUAAUGUGAUAGAUAGUUUUAUUGUUGUGUUAUUGCUUAGACUUCUAACCCAACGCUGGGGGGAUGGUCAGCAGCAAGAAACACAAUCGAAUGCCCUCGUCCUGUUUGGAGAUGUAUUAGAUGUUGAGCCUGAGUCCUAUGUGUUACCAGCAGAGGUUUGUUUGCAUCUUAAUUAGUUGUGUAGUGUUUGGCUAAGUAGUGGUAAUAACAAUAGUUGUGAAUAUUUGCGGAUUCCUACUACCUUCCAGCAUGCGGUAACCUCCCCGGGGGCAUGGCAGAAAAGAAACCCAACGUACCGGUAUGAGCAAGGCUCCCCAGUCGCAUGGGAGAAAACAAAGUCGAACUGUUACAGUUCGGUUGGUAGUGUACGCUCCUUUCAUCCUUCAUGGGAUGGAAACCCCUCCUCGAAAUCUAAGGUUGCAUCCACCGGAAUUGAAACGUAUCCGCUACGGAUUAUAUCAUAGACAGUAGUUAUAUCUGUCACAUUAAGUUUGGUCUGUUAAUGUUGUACAUUACUUGAAGUGCGUUAUUAACGGAUUUGAUGCAGGAAAGAAGUGCUCCAAAAGGUGGGGAGGGCCUUCAAAAAUGGGGAGGUGCUCCACCGGUGGGCUAUGAGUCCGGUCAAACAUCAAAUCAGAAUGAUGGAGAGAGGCUUGAACAAGUCUCUGGUCCUAUGGGGUUUGUUGAGGCACUUGUGAAGGAGAUCAACUCUGAAAUCCUAGGGACCGACGAGGUAGUUAUAUCUUAGGAAAUGGUUUAGGUCUGUUGUUGUUCGACAAUUCUCAGAGAGCGUAAUUAACUGAUUUGAAAUUUCAAGAAAUAAGGGCACCGAGGGGUGGGGAGGGUGCACAGCCAAAAGAAAACGAGUCGGUGGCUGCCCGCAUGACACCACUGGCCGGGAUUGACUUUGCGCAGGUGAUGUGCAUUUUAUUAUUGGUGUACACAUCCACAUUUUAUUUUUGGUGUACACAUGUUGACAUAGGUUACUGACUCCAUCUAGAAAACGGGUGCCGACAACGGUGGUGAGUUCGUUGAGGAGGAUCCUGACGGUGGUGAAGAAGCGAGGACGGCAGACAAACAGUCUCAAUCUGUUGACUUCGUUGAAACAUCAAAUAUGGAGUUUCCAAAGCCUGUGGAGGUGGUUGGAAAAAUUGCUCCUCCCAAGGCGGGUGUUGAGGCAAGUGUUAAGGAGAUCAACGCUGAAUUACAGGGGACGGAGGACGAAGAGAGAUAUGACAGUUGUAAAGACGACAUGUCCACUGAUAGCCAGAUACAAGAGAACCGACGUGAUCUGUGUGCUGAAACGGAUGCGGACUCUGAAGAUGUGGGCAGUGGUGGUAAACGGUAUCGCAUGAGAUCCAGCAAGAUUUCUGGAGUGUACACCCCUGACCCAAGGGUGAAAAAGUUGUUUAAGAGCGAGGAGAAGGUUGAGUAUAAGCCCAUUGCCAAAACGAAUCGAGCACAGUUUAAGAAGUUUGCCAAAAUUUUGAGGGAAAACCCUGCGCAGUAAGUUUCUAACUCUUUUUAAGGUUAUAUACAUAAACUCGUGCAUAAGUUCAUGAUUGUUGGUUAAAUUUGCAGGAUGUGGGAUAUCGCUACCGGUCACUCUGUGUGUAAUCGCUUCUUCCUUGAAAUUGCUGAACCGGGGAAAUGGAUGUCUGACGAGGUCUAUUAAGCUCUGCAUCAUCGUCACAUUAUACCUUUGACAGUCACCUUAUGUAACUAAUAUUUGUUACAUAUUUUUUUGGGACAGCACAUGCAUGUGAUAAUGAAUAUGUUGUGGAGGCGUCGCGGGAUUUAUCUACAGAAGGAGAGGAUGGUGAUCUUGGAUCAGUACUUUAUAAAAACCAUUCAGUCAAACUGGAGUGCCUUUAGCACAGACAAUGAUAAGCUACAGUUCGAAUGGGGGAAAAACGUAGCACAGUAUGUGACAGGAAAGAGCAAGGGGCAGAAAAUGAAGUUGGGACUUGGCUGCGAUGUCGACACCGUGUACACCCCGAUGAAUUGGGGUGGAGAUCACUGGGUUGGUCUCGGCAUUAAGCUGAAUGAAGGUCAUGUGACGGUAUUUGAUUCCUAUGUUCCUCAUACUGAGAUCGAGGUUGCGGAAGGACAUAUGUGUUUGGUUGUACAGUCGUUGCCUUAUAUAUUAGAAAAAUAUGCAGGGCAUAAAUGUUAUAAGGUGAAGGAAGGUCUUCGAAUUUACUCUUGGAGCCGCGCAGAAGGUAUUUAUCACAACAAAAGGGGUGGCGACUGUGGGCCAUGUGCUGCCAAGUUCAUAGAGAUGCAUGUUGCCGGCUUAACGGAGGAAAUGAGUCGGAUUACCGAAAAAGAAGUUGACAGAUUUCGAGAGCAGUAUGCAAUGGACUGCUAUAAAGAAUUCGUGGGCGUUGCUAAAGUAAACAAUGAGUAAACUUGAAGUUGUUUUCUUUGUCAGAAUGUUGUUCGAACCCAAUGAUACUUAUGUUUGUGUGAACCGAAUGGAACUUAAUGGUAUAUUUAUGGUGUGUUUGUGUGAUUAUGCGUUUAUGAUCCUCGAGAAACAAAAAGUUUGACGGUAUUGACUUUGCUAUUUGUAGAUAUGUACACCUGAGUUAAAAUGCUGCACACCAACUACAUGUAUUGACUUUGAUAGACCUUGUAACCUCGUACACCGUUGUUGUAAUGUUGUUGUAACUACGUGAAACGUUUUGCUUGGUUUUUAAACCUCGUACACCGUUGUUGUAAUGUUGCACACCAAGUCAUAGCUGUUCAUGGUAAUGGUUUAUGUAUAGACUGUAUAGACCAGUAUUAGAUUUUGUCUUCUUACUUUCGAAGGUAUACAUCAUUGAACAAAAUGAUUGCGAAUGUUAUUGUGUUAUAAUUAGAAUUUUUCGUGAUGUUUGUUUGUAUUAUAAAAAGUCACAUCAUUGAACAAUAUGAACUACAUGUAUUGUCGGUGGUAGACCUUGUAACGUUUUGUGUACAAUAUAAAGUGAAACGUUUUGUUUGGACUUUAAACAUCGUACACCAUUGUCGUAAUGAUGCACACCAAGUCUUACAUUUCACACCAACCAUAUGUAUUGAAUUUCUUAGACCUUGUAACGUUUUUUGUAUUAUAUUAUGUAAAACGCAUUGUUUGGUUUUUAAAUCUUGUACACCGUUAUUGUAAUAUUGUACACCGAGUCUUAUCUUUUCAUGAUAAUUGUAUAAGUAAAGAAAUGAUAGACCGAUGUUGGAGUUUGUCUCCUUAGCUUUGAAGGUAUACGUCACUUUCCAAAAUGACAGCGAAUGUUAUUCUCGACAACGGAAUUAGAGCAAUGCUUAAUGUGCUAAUGCAUUACAACAAAUAAUAAUUACUGUCAAGUGUCGAAGGCCGGAAAACUCGUGGUGCAACGAAAAUCCCAGAGGAAAAGACCAACCUCUUUGAUCCAAAAGCAUCGGUUACACAUGUCUUCAGUCUUGCUUAACUCCAUCUGCCAGAGAUCCCAAUCGAAAUCCAACGUAGGUGCACAGGGGCAAUUAUAAAAAAGGGUCGAUCUGUUGACAUGAACACAAACUUCUUUGUUAAGAACCUCUCGUUAACGACCGGCACCCACGGAACAUCAUCCAUUCUAACAAGCCAUCCAAUUGUACCAACUGCUUCUCUCGUAAAACUAGCGAAGCAUUCCUCAUCCUCCCAGUAGAGUUUGCGAGUCAUUGCAUAGGUAUACAACGCUCGUUCGUAUCCAGCAUCCGCUGCUCUCUUUAUCAAAGCAAGACCUUCCUCGUGGCGUUGUAGGGCAUAGAAAUACUCAACACCCUUGAUGUAAAGAGUACUUGGGUUUCCGACAUCGUAGCAUCUUCUCAACAACGUAUCACGCAAGCCUGUCCACCAAGGGUAUUUAUACAUAUCAAACGAAGAAUAGACGUCAGGUGUGUCUGCCAGCGCACGCAUUGACUUACAAGUAGAUCUGAGUCUAUACAGAUCUUGAAAGGAAUUUUUUGCGACGCAGGAGACAAUCAAUUGUUGGAUUUCUGAAGAGAGAUCUAGAAAAGUGGUCUCUGCCAUUAUAGCCAGAUUGUGUUUUCAGCGUUGUGCAAAUGAUGUCCAAAAUUCAGUAAUUAUAGUGAGUGGACGGAGGCAAACGAAGGGUUGUCUAUUUACGACGGUCACGCCCGUAUAAGUCAUUAUAGCUUGGAGACGCAUUGACCCUAUACCGAGACAAACGAAAUAAUGGAUUUUUUAAUUGUUUACAAGUACAUUAUGGCCGCUUUAAAACAUGAUUUGACAGUGUUAGGUUUCAAAUGUGGGUGGGACAAUAAAUUCUCGUAUUAACCUCACACGUUUUCUUUACAAACCUGUCUAUUAAAUUUCUAUAAUCCCUCUCAUACCUACCAUAAAACAGACCACAAAAAAACUCCAACAAGUGACCCCAAUAGUAUGGAAGCUCACGUACUCCCAAAUCUUCUCCACGAAAUUGUGUGCAAAAUCAUUGAGCUUGUCGGAGAGGAAUCAUUUUACAAUCUUGGCCCUUUUCUGCGAGCUGGAAAACGCGGUUACGCCCUCGCACACGAGCUCUCAGUCUUGAAGAAGUGCGAUGUUAGUGAAAUGGAGGACAGGUUCGUCACACGUCAAAUACGCCAAGGUUGUCAGUUCCGGGAGUUUCAUCUCAAGUGUGUCAGUGCUGGCAACAGAAAGGCAAUCUACUAUGAAGGUCUCCUUACAGCACCGAACAUAGGACUUGAGGAGAGUAUUAAAAUAUUGGAACCAAAUGUCCCAAUGCAUGGAUUCUCAACCCUAGUUGUCGCCAUAUUCAAUGUUUGUCUUGGCAACGACAAGGAAGCGAGCAAAGUGUUUCAGCUAUUCGCAGCAUAUCACCAUGACCUUCGAUCGGAUGAAACUUCUGAAACGGGAGAAUCCAUAGAGAACCAAUUGAAAGCCUUUGGAGCGGAAGACCUGAACUGCAACAAAUAUGGGGAAUCUUUCAAGUUCCCGGAUGAUGGCUUAAUCAAGACACCCAGGUGCGUGUAUGGCCAUGAUUAGGCAGACAACUUAAAAGGUGUUUGCAAAAACUGCAGGCUAUUUUGGAUUUGCGUCAACAUUUCAAAUAUCAUUUAAAUAUUAUUGACAGGGAAAUCUCUCUGGUUUUCUCCUAUGUCAUUUAUGUUUUAACAUUUGCCAUUUCCUCCCAAAUGUAGUUCCUCGAUCCCAAUACUACAUUUAAUUUCUGUUGGAACAAUACCUUUGCAAAUUUAAAUAACUAAUUCAUAGGUUAUAACACAUUAGUUGUCUUCGUAACCAACAUUACAAAACUGCAACACGUUUACAGCAGAUGUUGAGAUACUAAAAUACAAGCUUGCAGGACAAAUUAAACAUCUCUUCACAUAUUUAGAAACCCGUUAAUGAUGUCUUCUUCUAUUUCUGCAUUUUUGCCCAAAUCACUCUGGAGGUGCGAGAUGGUCUUCUUCAAUUCCAUGAUAGUCCGCUUUUUUCUGAAAUUUCGUCUCUAGCUUCAAUCAGAGCUUCCUUUUGCCAUCCGAAAGGUUCUUCCUCAUCGAUCCAUUGGAAAAACCCACAAUCAAGUGGACUCUACAAGAUAAACGAAAUGAAAACCCUUUCCAUAAAUAACAACACAAUACUACUAUUCUACCUUCCAGCGUUCACACCCGUAGAACCUCCGACCAGGAUUUUUGUCUGUCUAAGAUUUACAUUUCUUCGCCGGCAACGCACAGAAACAACGCACAUCGGUUUCAUUACCCUUUCCCUUUCCCUUUCCCUUAUAGCUCGAUCUGCCACCAAAUUCCAUAUCUCUUCCCAGUUGGAGAAAAUUAAUGAACACCAAAAAAGGACUGAAAUCGAAUUGGAGAAAAUAAUUUUGGGAAGAAAUGUAAAUGGGUCGGGUUUAGGGUUUUGAAUGGGCCGGAUUUUUGGGCAACCCUGACCGAUAUUUCAAUUUACUUUAAUUUGAAUUUUGAAAUAAAGUGCACAGUGACGAGCACUUUAUCCAACUUCGACCUAAUAACAUCUCCCUUUCUCCUUUCUCCAACUUCGACCUAAUAACAUCUCUCUUUCUCCUUUACCAGCAAAAUUCCCUCGAUGUCGACUUCCAACAGCUCGGAUGGUGCCUCGUAUGUGGACAUGCUUUACGCUGUGAACGACUCCAACUUUGGAAUCCCGUAUCGUUGUCCUUGCGGAAGCGCAAUUAUCAUUCAGAUCUCUACAGAAGCGGCAGCCAUUCCGAAGAAAUAUUUUGUAUGCAAAGAUUUCAAGGUGAGUUGUAAUUUUUUAUGUAAUUGUUGGAUUUGCUUCCAAAGAUUUAAAGGUAAAAUCAUAUUUCCAGAAUGACGGGUUGCACAGAAAGCAAGAAUGGACCGCCGCAAUCGAAGACGAAACCCGACGUUUGAAGAAAACAGUUGACGAUCACGAAUCCAGGAUACGUAGCUUAGGUCGUGUUGAAUAUCGGAUCGAUCGAAUUGACCAAAAUGCCCAAAAAACGACGGUGAGAUUGCACACCUUGGUUAUCAGAUCCACGAGAUGGAGAAAGUCUUGAAGAAAAAUGCUGAGGAGAUUGCAUUAUUUAAGAAAAUUAUUGAGAAACUUGAAUAUAAUAUCUUGUUGCAUUUAUUUUGUAUUAUCUAUUCCGACAGACAUAUGGUGUGCAACUUUUAUAUAUGGUGUGCAAGUUUUUUAUUGGGGAAGACGACGUAUUUCCCCACCAUAACUAUCACAUAGUAAUAAAUGUACACAAUCUUUCAUCCUCAUCCCAAUUGCCCACUUUAUAAGCAUAACAACCUAUUUCCACACAAUAUGAAAGUUCGAAACUCGUUUCCACACAAACUUUGAAAAACGGACUAAUACCGACAAAUAGCGGUUUAAAAUUGGUUAGUGUUCCCUAAACCUAAACUUAAACCAAUGGCUAACUUAAGUAAACCCAAAACGACCCGAUUACGACCCGAUUAGAGAUCUAAACCAGAUUAAAUCAACCUAAUACCAAUUGGAUCUAAUAAACCCACCCAUGACCCGAAAACGUAAAUCUUUUGUUUCUCUCUGGCGAAGAACGUCGCUGCUCUUUCUCAUCCACCUCGUUGCUCCUCUGAUUGUUCUCUCUGAGGUAAUUUCGAGAAUUCUAUCUCUAAAUCUCUCGCUCUCUCUCGCUCUCGCUCUAUCUCUCUCUCGUUAUUGUAUUGUCUCUUUGUCUAUGUCUCUUUCUGAUACUGACAAUGUGUUUCUCUGUUUUGCAGGAAUCGAGAAUGGAAUCAUGGACUAACGUGAAUGUUGAGUGGAAUGAUGUACCUGAUUUCGACCCAGGGACUACCGAUUCUCCUGAUGUUGAUUCUUAUUCUCCUGAUGUUGACUCUGAUGGUGAAGAUCGCAGAGAGCGCAACGACUACAACAUUGAGAAAGAAGCUUUCAACUUUGUUGAUGAACCUCAAGUGAAGCAUAACUUGUAUCCAGAGACAGAAGAUGAUGAAGAUGAAGAGGGGGAAGAACUUCAAAGGACUAUCUACAGGCGGCGCAAUGAUAUUAGGAGAGGCAGUGGGGAGUUGUAUGUAGGGCAAGUGUUCAUCAGUGGAAUUGCAUUUAAGGAAGCAGUGCUCGACUAUGCUCUGAAAACGGGUCUGAACAUCAAGCAAAAUAGAUAUGACAAGACAAAGAUUGCCUUUGUAUGUGAAGGCAAAGGUUGCUCUUGGCGCAUAUACUGCUCAUCCUCAGUAAAGUAUCCCAACAAAUGGCAGGUGAAGAUAUUGAAGAAGGAUCAUACCUGUGUUCCUACGGGUACUUGUGAGAUGCUCAAAGUUCCACAAAUAGCUCGCUUGUUUGUUGACAAGAUCAGAGAAGAGCCAGAGUAUUUCAUGCCCAUGAAGAUUGAGGAGCUGGUUAUGGAGAAGUGGAAGCUCAGUGUUAGUAGGCCGCAAUGCCAACAUGCUAGGAACAAAGCGCUCAGAUGGAUUGAAAGAGAGUAUGAUGAGCAGUUUGGACGGUUGAGGGAUUACUGCGCUGAGAUAAGAAGCUCGAAUGUUAAUUCUUCUGUUGAGCUUGACUGCCUGAGAAAUGAUGAUGGGAUCAAAGUUUUCAACAGAUUUUAUGUCUGUUUUGACAUUCUGAGGAGGAACUGGAAAGAAACGUGCAGGCCACUAAUUGGAGUAGAUGGUUGUUUCUUGAAGUCUAGGAUGAAAGGACAGCUUCUAGUGGCUUUGGGUCGUGAUGCUGAUAAUGCCAUUUACCCUAUCGCAUGGGCUGUGGUGCAAGUAGAAAACACCAACAAUUGGUUGUGGUUUGUGAGAAAGAUCAAGGUUGAUCUAGGACUUGAUGAAGGAGAGGGUUAUGUUAUGGUUUCAGAUCGUCAAAAGGGAUUGAUUGCAGCUGUGAAGAGAGCACUACCGCGAAUUGAGCAUAGGAUGUGUGUUAGACACAUCUAUGGCAACUUGAAAAAACGCCAUGGGAAGAAACCUGAAAUGAAGCUAAAGCUUUGGAACCUUGCUUGGAGCUACAAUGAUGCUGAUUACAAAGCAAAUCUCAAAGACAUUGAGCGGUAUGAUCAAGAUGUUUAUGACGACGUGAUGAAGGCAAAGCCAAAGAAGUGGUGUAGGGCAUUUUACAAGCUUGGACCUUUUUGUGAAGACGUGGAGAAUAACUCAACUAAAUCUUUCAACAACUCCAUUGGUAAAGCCCGAGACAAGCCCUUUGUACCUAUGUUAGAGACAAUAGCUCGCUUGGCGAUGGUUCUUAUAGCGAGAAGAGAUGUAAUCUGCAGCAGCCACGAAGGGAUUUGCACACCGUAUGUCAUUGAGAUGCUUGAGAGUUUGCAUGAGAAAGCCUCGAAAUGCACGAUUCAACCUUCCACCAACCAGACAUAUGAAUCUACUAGUAGUGGCUGUGCGCAUAGGGUGAGCUUGGAAAAUAGAACAUGUAGCUGCAGAAGAUGGGAGAUUACAGGGAUCCCUUGUGAGCAUGCCUAUGGAGUUAUGCUGAAGAAAGGUUUAGAGGCUCAAGAAUUUGUGGUUCACUGGUUUAGGACGGCUACGUGGAGGUGUACGUAUGCUGAAGGGAUUGUACCUUUGCGUGGAGAAAGUUCUGGCCCGUAGGACCGGAACCAUCUAUAAUUGAACCUGAGAUCCCAGAUCAACCAGGCCGUAAGAAGGUGACUAAAGCAGAUAAAAAGAGAAAGAAGGGAGUCAAUGAAUCACCAUCGAAGAAAAAAGAGAAGUUCUUGAAGCGGAUCAUGCACUGUGGGAUAUGUGGUGUUGCUAAUCAUAACUCCAGAUUCCAUAAGAAGAACCCAAAAAAGGUAUGCUUUACUGUGUUUUCGGUUUUGAUGUGUUGUGUUUUGGAUUGAGUGAAGAUUGUUGUGUUUAUUGUGAUAUUUUUUCAGCCUUUUGUGAGUGGUGAAUCAUCUCAGCCUGAAGCCUCACAAGGUGUUUUCACUCAAGCCACUCAGCCUUAGAAGUGAAGAAGAGAAGAUGGAUGUCAAGAAGAGAAGAUGGAUGUGAAGAUGUGGUCGAAUUUUCAAUUGUUUAAUGGUCUUUUUUGAGGUUCUAGGACCUUGUUUCUCGGCUUUGAUUCCUUUUGCACGUUUUAGGACCUUGAAUCUCGGGUUUUUGGACUAGUUUAAUGGCUUGUGACUCUAUUUUGGUGUGUUCUAUGUAUGCUUUAGACUCAAUGUAAAAUAUUUUAAUGGCUUAUGACUCUAUUUUGGUGUGUUCUAUGUAUGCUUUAGACUUUGAUUCUCUCUUUUUAAAACAACUGAAACUUUUUAAAAUAACAUACUUGGAAUCAUCAUCCUAAACAGAACAAACACUUAACAAUACAACCAUCAUCGACUUAAAGACUUAAACAUAAACAAACUGAGACAAACAUCGGUUUUGAAUCAACUGCGACAAGCUAUAUAAUCUUAGACAACACAACCAUGGUCAAACAUCCUAAAACAACAAGCACAAGCGCUUUCUUCACCUCGCAUUUAGCUUCACUCACAACAUCUUCCAUUCUUGCACAAAUCUCAGUCUCUAUCUUCAAUUCAAGCUCUUCAAACUUCUUCUUCUCUUCUUCACCACGCUCAGCAAGAUUUGUUUGUUCAAGUUUCCCUAUCCUAAAUGACAAUGCUUCAACCUCAUCCAACAAUGCCUCAUCAACCCAUUUAUAAGUGUGAUUAUCAUUACUCAGCUACAAAACACACAAAAAUUCGAUUUUGACUUCAAACACACAAAAACUCAAUCACAUUUAUAGCAAGAAACUAACCCUUUUCUCUGCUGCAAAAGCACACCGGAAGUAUCUUCUGUAAGGAUUUGCGGUCGACUUUGACAUCAAAGAGACAACCAAUUCUCCACACCAACAUCUCUUCGGCACACCAACAAUGCGACCUCUUGCUCGCGCGCUACUGGCUCCACUCGAAUUUCCAGAUUCAUUGCUCAUACUUUCUGGGUUUUUAUUCGUUUAAUCUCUUCUCUGUUUUUUAUUUUAUUUUUAGGGUUCUAAGGGAAUGAAAUCGAUUUUGGGGGUUUUAAAAGGGUUUCGGGUCGAUCCUAAGUCGGAUCUAUUUUUGAGUUGGAUCGUACCAGUUUCAACCGAUACGAACUGGUUUACUACCGGUUAAAGUCGAAAACCAUUAAAACCAAUUCAAAUCUUCGUCUGUGUGGAAACGAGUUUCGAACUUCCAUAUUGUGUGGAAAUAGGUUGUUAUACUUAUAAAGUGGGCAAUUGGGAUGAGGAUUAAAGAUUGUGUACAUUUAUUACUAUGUGAUAGUUAUGGUGGGGAAAUACGUCGUCUUCCCUUUUUAUUGACGUAAUAGUAACCAACGUUUCAAUUGACAUAAUAGUAUCCUACGUUUCAAUUGACAUAAUAGUAUUCUCUUCGAAAGAUUAGAAAUAUUAGUUGGUGUGCAACAAUUUAAACACAAUGUACGUAGGAUAAAGUAGUGUGCACGAAGAUUACCACCAUCCAACAAGUCUUAACGCCACGUUUCAAAGUUUGGAUGACCGGUGGAUGCCUUGAAGUCGCUUAGAAGAAGACCAACCUCUUUUAUCCAGAAGCACCGGUUACACAUGUCUUCAGCCUUCCUAUUGUCGAUGUCCCAUAAUGCCCAAUGUCCGUCCAAUAGAGGAGAACAAGGACAGCUGAAAAAUAUCGGUGCGACUGUUGAUAUAAAGACGUGCCUCCUUAUGUGGAAGUAGUCGUUAUGGUCCCAAUUCCACAAUCCAGCCGAGGAUCUUACCAGCAGUCCGAUCUUAGCGACGUAGUCUCUUGAAAAUCCCCUGAAGUGGUCGCCAUCAUCAUCCCAUAAUUUGCUUGUCAUGGCGUAGGUAUACGAGGCUCGCUCAAAUCUAGCAUCCGCUGCUCUCUUCAUCAAAUCAAGACCCUCAACAUACAUAUUUCGCCUGUAAAAAUACUCAACGCCCUUGAUGUAAAGUGUACUUGGGUUUCCCUGGGCAUAGCAUCUUCUCAAUAGGUAACGGAGCCUAAACCCGCGGAGCCUCCACGGAUAUUUAAACAAAUCGAACGAAGCAUAAACGUCUUUAUCGUCUGUCAAUGAACGCAUAGCCUUGCAAGUAGCGCGGAGUCUGAAAAGAUCUUCGAAGGAGUUAUGUGCCACGCGUUUAACGACUAACUCCGGGACCUCUGUCAGGAGGCUGAGUAUAGGGAAUUGUUCCAUUUUUAGGAGAUUUCUGCUUAUACGUUACGACUAGAAUGUGUCACCGCUUCCAAAAAUCGAAUAGGGUCAACCCUAUUUAUAAUCGAGGUUUACAUAACAAACAGAGAUGAAAUGAUGUGACUAGCGAAGGAGUAUCAUAGGGACGAAACGAAAUGAUGCAAGAUAAAAAUACUUAACCGUUUAACGGGUAUGAGGACAAUUAACUGUUUAACGGGUAUGACAAUUGUUUACACCAACUUUCAUUCUUCAAUACCAGUUACAUUGGGCCGAAUGAUGCGUCGGUCUUACCACCGAAAGAGUACAAAUACAUUAUUGUGGACUAAAACUGUGUUUCCGAUUGACUUUUGUAUUAAAGUCUAUCCAUGUAUACAACAUACUUUAAAUAGUUAAACGUGUACAACUUAUUCUAAACGGUGUACAAUUCAUUGUGUAACUAAAUUGCAGACACUAUUUAUUUGUGUUUAUAUAUUAUAUUUAUUUCAGUAUAUGGUUAAUUUAGAUAGAGGUACGUUAUGUAAGGAUAUAAGCGGCAGGUGUACGGGUUUAUGAUUGAAAUCUAUGCAGGUAUACCCAUCUCGGUAAUAUGAUUAAUUAUGAUUGCUUUUAAAAUCUAUAGUUAAUUAUGAUUGCUUUUAAAAUCUAUGCAGGUAUACCCAUCUCGGUAAUAUAUAAUACAUAAAUUUAGUUAAUAUUAUCAAAGGUGUACAUUUUGUUGUUGUUAAAGUGUAGAACAUAUUGUAGUACACAUAUAAAUCUAAUACAUAAAUUAAGUUGAUAUAAAUCUAUUGCCAUAUUUCUGAUCAUUUGGAUUCUCGACUUGACUCGGACUCGCUCCGGUGAUGUUCCUCAAGGUACUCCUUAUAGUCUUCAAGAUCAACCUUACUAUCGGAUUCAUCAUCGCUCCCUCCGACUCCCUGCGGAACAGACCCGUCUCUGUCGUAAAAAGCAUCAUUGUCAUCCGCCUGGCCGGGAUCGUCUUCCCUUCGUUCGUUUGGUCGUUGGUGGAUAAAGAUCAACCGUUAGUAUUUCGGCUGGCACUUCAACAUCCUUUGGAUCCGGAACCGGAAGUAUGAUACCCCUAACUGUUUUAGCCCAUGUCUCUUUGAGAUGGUGUUUGCAAACAAACAUGCUGUACUGCAUAUUACGGUAAGAAGCAGCAGCAAUGGCAUGUCGGCAUGGCAAACCAAGCUUUUGGAAUUCGAGGCAAGUGCAAGUUCGUUUAUCCUGAUCAACCGUGAAACCAAAAUUAGUUGGCAUGUGCGUAACUUCGAAUAACCAAGUCGAACAUGGCAUAACUAGAAGGCCCGUUGACAGCACCAGCUGUUCGACCAGUAUCUUUUGAAUAUUAUCUGGAACAUUUCCCUUCAUCUUACUGAUCUCGCUGCGUCUGCUCACAGACCAUGUACACAGCUUCCGGCGAAUAAACUCGAACAAUGCCAUUAUAAGACUAUCAUGAGCGGGCAGAAGAGCAUUAUUCAACGAUUCAGCAGCGUUAGAAGUCAUCACGUUAAAUCUCUCCCCUUCGAAAUGUGAACGUGUCCAUAGCUUCUUGUCGAUCUUCUCCAAAUAAUCCCAGCAUCUCCAAUCCGUCAGUUUAAUAAGCUCCAUUAUCUCCUUACACUCCGAAACUCUGAACGCUUCCCCAGCUCUGCCAACCAUUGCUUUCUGUUGCAGCCCCUUAUACUUAUCCUGAACGUUACGAUGGAGGUGUACGAGACAAAUACCAUGGUGUGCACGUGGGUACCGUUUAUCUUUCGCUGCGAAAAUUGCUGCGCAUCUAUCUCAUAUUAUACCUAAAUCAGAACCAUCCUCUACAAUAGUAGAUAACCUCUCGAAAAACCAUGUUCAAGAUUCUGUGUUCUCGCUUUCCACUACUGCGAAAGCAAUCGGGAAUACGCGGCUGUUAGCAUCUUGUCUGCUGGCACUUAUCAAAACACCUUUUUACUUUCCAAACAUGUGGGUGCCGUCCACCACUAGCACCUUCCUUAGGUACUUCCAUCCAUCGAUGCAUGCUUUCAGGGACAUGAACGCAUACUUAAACCUUGUUUUCCUUCUUUGUCUUUUUCGGUUUUAAUAUCUGUGAUUGUUCCAAGAUUUGCUAGCUUGAGUACAUGGAAGUACUGUGGUAGCAUCUUGUUGAAUCCUCCUCUGUUCCUUGCGCAGAUGCAAUCGCUAGUUCUUUCGCUUUCCAAGCUUUCCAGUUUGAGCAUGUAUAGUUGAAUUCCGUUCGCAACAUUUCCGGAAGUUCCAUAGAACGCGGCCCAGAGUAAAGCCUCUCGUAUUUCGAACGCAAUAGAGCUGCAAGCACUUUGGCUGUACCAUGUUUUUUAUACUUCCCUCUAACGUCGGCUACACAUACAUGAUUCAGAAUUGCCUUUUUAACCAGAUAAGUUGGAGAAUCACCGAGUUGAACAGCCACUACUCUCCAGUUGCAUUCUUUUUCGUAGCAUUUCGCCGUGAGUCGGCGUUUGCAAUGCCUGAGCUUAAACGUGCACACCUUCGCAAUUGCGUAGAUAGCCAACGUCAACUUGCACUCCGCUUUGUUUUUGAACGUCCUUCCCACGUAUAUGUCAGAGUCCUCCUUGCUGAAGUCAAUGUCAAGAGGGUUGCAGCUGCUUCCAUCCAUUUCAUUAUACACACCAUCUACAUCAUUAUAUCCAUACAUUUCUGGUACUUGUAUGCCUUUCAUGAAUGCUUCUCCACCCUGAACUUGUCUAGUUGCGGUGACAGGAGGAUCAACAUCGUUCUUAUCUUCGAGCUCACGGUUGUGCGUGUUAUAUUGUUUUGGGGGAGUUUCGAGACAUAUGUCACCACUUUCAACGGCCUCUGUUGCUUGAUUGGGCGCACAACCAACGUCUGUAGGAGUACCACUCACAUUAUCUCCGACUUUCGUCAAUACUUCUUCACCUUGAAAUGCGGCCGGCUGGGGAAUAGGAGUGUCAACAACAGCAUCAUCAUCAUUAUCUUCAGUCACCCGGGUGUGUUUGUUUUUAGAUUGAGAGGGCGUCACAAGAACAACAUCAACACCUACCUCGGUCUCUAUUACUUCUGUGUCCAAUCUGGAGGGUGAUCCAAGAUCUCUUGCUAGAUCGGUGAUUUCCACAGAAGAAUCGUUAUUUUUGGAUAUAUAUCCACCUCCACGUGAUCGUUGCUUCUUACCACACGCCGAUUUUGCAGCCCCUGUGCCACCAAUACCGCCAGGAGGCCUAAUACCCUUACCACCAGACUGUCCACCACUUCUUCCUUUGCCUGGACCUUCUACAAAAUCGUCGUCGUCGUCCGUCACGCAAUCGUGUCUACAAUAAUCAUGCCAGCCAUUGUAGUCGUAAUCGCUAUCAUCGCCUUCAUCUUCUGCAGCAACAUCUUCGUGAGCUCCUCCAUUAUUUCCAUUCUCCACUGAAACCUGUUCAACACUUAGCGUUCUCGUAUCUUCUAUGAGACAGAUUUGUUGAGGCAGAUUAUCUGACGCUGUUUUUACUGCGUCUUCUUCUUCGACUUUGCCUUCCUUAUUCUCUCUUUUAUCCACUGCCAAGUCAUCUCCACAAACAUUCCCCUUUUCUUGCUCGCAAUUCUCUGAAUUAGCCCCACUGCCGUCGUCAAGAGUUUCUCCGCUUUUGUCUUGGUCCUUUGACGUCGCAACCAUGCCACCAGACUGAGAGUUGCGUUUGUAGCGUUCUUCGAUUUGCUUAACUUCCAUAAAAAAAGCAACAUCUUCAUCAGGAGGUCGAACGGGUGCAUUCAUUUGGACCCGUAUUACUCGUUCCGACCUUAGAAAUAUCAUUUCUCCUCCAACACUUUCUCUUAAUGUUAUGAAGAGAUUGACGGAUUUGUCUGCCCGGUGAAGCGCCUUGAAAAUCCUGAAAUCUUUGUCCGUUGCUAUCUCGACGGGAGAAGCCACUAGGCCCACCAUUUCACUCUCUCCAUCAUUUAGCCAAUACGACAUCUCGGCUGACACUUCCCUUCCCAAAAGCCCAUACGCAGCUAGAAUACACGUUUUUAACUCCUCAGCACCUCUAAUUCUGGACGAAUCGAAUGCUCUACCCAUUCUAUCAUUGUCUAUCUUGAAAUCCCAAGCUCCAUUGUCAAACAUUAUCCACCUCCCAGCCAUAACCACAAUGCAAGAAUUACACAGACCUACGGUCCAAGCAUGAGCAGCCGUUAGGGUCAUUUGCCAAAUAGAGGAAGCACACAAUUGUAAAAACAAAUACAGAAACUUAGAGCUCAAACUCUGUACCUUCGCCGGUGUUGGUCCUGAUUUCCUUACUGCCUGUGCCACCACUACUUGACCCGACGUUCUGACCACCGCUAAUUGUUUCCAUCCUUUUCAGUUACGGUGGAUUAGCAUCGACGGCCUCAGAGGAUGGGAAUAUCUUCUUAUCGUAGGGUUGCUUCUUUUAGUUGUACACCAGUUCUUAGCUUCUUCUCACCGUUACCCAGUUAGCGUUUUAUAACAUGUUAGUAUAAUUAAUAUUACCACAAAUAUCAGAAAACAGUAAACGGCGGGAAAAGGAAAGGUUAAUAUUACCUUUAACCUUUGUUACCGGUCAGUCAAAAAAAUAAAAAGAAAAUAAAAUCUCGACCUCACACGUGCGAAAACUUCUGGGCCGCUUGGAUCGCUAAGUCUUAGGAUCGUUUGGUGUGGGUCACUUUCAAAAGUUUCAUGGGUCACGGCCCAUAACAUGACGGGUCAUAAGGCCAAAUUCGUCACCGAUUUAUUUCUCUCCCCCCUAUUGGCCCGUUUCGACAAUAAAAACUUGCAGCGACCCACUUGGCCAAUUAAAAACUUGAAGUGACCCUAUGUUACAAGCAACUCUAUCUUUUCUAGAAAGACAUUGUCACAAAUACAUUCGUUAAAAAACAAAAGACUCUUCUAUAUUUAUUUUAUAAAUUUAUUAAUACAAAUAAUUAUUUAAAUAAAAUAAUUAUAUAGUUAUAAAAUUAUAUAUAUGCUUUCAAAUUCGAAUUUUCUUAUAAAAAUUCAAAAUUAUUUUUUUCUAGUUUAUUUUGAAAACUUUUAAAACUUUUUAUUAAUAAUUUUAAUUAUUUAUUUAUUUAUUAAAAUCAUAAACCUCACAAUCUAAAGCUUCACCUCUCAAAUCUAAAUAAUAAGUGUAGAUUAGUUAAUCUUAGGGUUAUAACUGUAUAUUUGCCUCUUUAAAAUUAAAGGUAAAUAUGGUUAAAUUAAACAUUAAAAGUGGUACUAAGAAUGUAGUAUAGUGAAACCUCUAUAAAUUAAUAAUGUUGGGACAACACCAAAACAAUAAUUUUAUAUAUUAUAAAAUUAUAUUAUUUUAUAGUGAUUUUUAGUGUAUAUUAAUUUAUAGAGUAUUAAUUUAAAGAAGUUAUACCGUAGUUUAAACAAUUUCUCAUAUUUUUAUUGAAUUAUAUAUUCUUUGGCCUAAUAUUUAUAUAAAAUAUAUAUGUAGCAUAAUAUUUAAAAAUAAUUUUAUACUUAAUAUAUAUUUUAAAUUUACAUGUGAUUACCAUUUUACUUAUCAAAACAUAAAAGCAGAUGAUCGAAUAUAUUUUGGUAUUCGUAUAAUAAUAUUUGAUCAUUUGCUUUUAUAUUUCAAUUUUCUUUUAGGAAAUGAAAUAUUGAAAUCUUAAGAAUUUAUGUGGUAGCUAUAAAUCAGGUAAAUUGACGGUUAAAGAUUAACUAUGUUAUAUAUAUUGAAAAUAUUUUGUGAAAAAUAAAAAGAUGGGAGCGUUCAAAUUUUACUAACCAUACCUUAGUUUAAGAAUAGUGGUUAUAGUUAUAUUAACCAAAUAUAUGUAUGAUUUACAAAUUAAUCUUCUACUGAAUCUAACUUUUAACAAUGGUUUAAGCAACAAACAGUCAUUUUUUCAUCAACAAAGAUCCCAAACGGUUUAUUUUAAUAAAAUCGAUCAAGUACGUCUUGUGUGUCUAAGUUUUGCUCAAUCAAAUUUACUUAAUGGCCCAUUACAACAAAUAUUAAGAGAGACUUACCUAAAGCCCGAUGGUUGUAACAAAGAUAAAGAACAAAUUUUAAAAUAUACGCCAGUUACACUAUAUAAAUAUAUUUCAGUCUGAUUUUUAGAAGUCACUUUUUUUUUUGAUCAAAUUUUAGAAGUCACUUAAGAUUUCACAAUGUUACGGAAAGAACAUAAAAAGCUUCCUUUUCUCUUUCUCUGAAAUACAGAGGCGCGAGAGAAAAAGAGAAAACCGAUGAGAAUUAAAAUUAUUAUUAAUGAAGGAAAAAAGGAAUGAUUUCUUCUUUGUCGGCAAUAUUUUUCAUUAGAAUUGGUAAUGGACUACAUGAGAUCCAAGUAAAAAAAAACAAAUUAUAGAGCCCAUAACACAAAAGCUGUUUCUGAUAAGUGUAUCAAGCAUCGUGUCCUUCAUGCUGAAAACAUCAUGGCCGCCGGAGCUCUUUGCCACCGUGAAAUUUUCCGAUUUCGGUUUUGCUCUUUCUUCACCGUAACAGAGAUUUGGAACUUCACGAACACUUCUCUAAACUCCAAUACCAAUUCAAGCAUAUCAUCUCUUCAGUCGCCAACUUCUUUCAGCUCCAAUCUUCAACAGCUAUCCCAAGGAACACAUCCACGUCUCCGGCUUAAUUUUGACCCAGAGAUCUUACACCGCCCACUAAGGACUGCGGUAAAGCAGAUGCAAUGUUACCCAAACAAAGAUAGAAUAUUUAGUUGAAGAGAUGUUGGUCGGGAUUGAGUGAAGCAAUAGAGGGCUACGGCAUGCUUUCCGAUUAUAGAUCGGAACCGUUAUUACAUCGACGCAAGAUUAAAGAAUAGAAAAUAUAACACGAAUAAUUGCUCAGAUUUAGGUCGAAAACACCACAAAGUAUUGCUAAGCGAAGAAAAAAAAAUCGAUCUAGAUGUUAACACACAAAAAGAAAGGGAAAUAGAUUUAUCCUUCCGAAAGAUGAUAGUUUGAUAAGAACGAUGAAAUAUCGAGAGAAACCUCUCUCUCUCUCUAGAAGAGGGGAGAGAAUCAAAAGAAAAGAGUGAUCUAAAGCUGUUAAAACGACUGUGUUGUGAUGACAGUGGCAUAGAUUGGUAAUUAUUGAGAAAAAAUCAGAGCUAUUUUUUAUUUGUACUUUUGUUUUAAUAUAUUAGAUGACCAUCAUUAUUAUUUCAAAGUAAUGUGACCCUCUUUUUUCAUCACGUAUGUGAAUAUAUAUACAUAUAUUAUAUCAUAUAUAAUAUUUAGUAUGAACAUAACAUAUAUUAGUGAUCCACUUUGCUUAGGUGUAUGAUCAUGUAACUAUGUAAGAUCAUAAAAUAAUAUUAAUGAAUUCUCAAUUCAUAGACUAGACUGUAAACGGUUUCUACCAAAACAUUAUAAUCAACUAAUAUUAUAUGACGGUUAAAUCUGGACGUUACGAACUUUAACUAGAGUAGAGUAAGUACAACAGAUAGGACAGAGUAAGUACAACAGAUAGGACAUUCCCAGCACCCUUUCCUUUAGUGACUAACACAGAUCUGUCCUUGUGCCCCAGAUCUCACUUCUCUACACCACCAGAAGGUAAGCUGGUGUCAUCACCAGACCCAAACCAUCGUUACUCUGAGUUGGUAACUCGUCCACCACGUGUUCGAUGAAUUUCUCCCGUGGGUUUUUCUUUGUUGCUGUCGAUUUCAACUCACCGAACGUUUGAAACAGCUACACUCGGUAGUCUCCUUCCAUGGCCUGAGCUCAGAAUCAACCGUAACUAGCUUGAAUGAACCGGAUCUGUCCUCGCCUUCCCGAUCUUUCGCUACUCUUUUGCUGACGCGGCUUCACUGGCGUUAAUGACGGAGUGAUAUCUCUGGUCGGGGUUGCUCAACGAGUUCUGUUUCGCCUGCAUCGUGAAUAGUGCCAUGGCGAUCCAUACUUUCGCAAGUUCGAUCCACCAACACCUAUAACUUAUGUAGCUCCGCAAGAAUGGCCACGUAGGUAGCUUCUUCACAGUCGAGAGGAUUCAAAGGCUUUGAUACCAUUUGUUAAGUCUGAAAAUGGAUUCUAGGUCAAAAGAUGAAGAAGAUCGUAAGUGAGAGAAACGAGCUUCAGCAAAUUGUAUUUGCCUGAUUUUUAAUAUCAUUUUUAUAAAUGAAACCAAAGGAGCUAACUCCAAUUAAGUAGCAAGGACUUAAUUUAAAACGACAAAGAUAAAUUCCAUAGAAUGUCUCUAGCGAUGUCUUUGCUCUUCAUUUCCAUUCUCUAGUCACUUUCAUAAUUCUCAUCGAUCAUUUCCAGUCUAAGACCAUCUCCAUCUCCACUCCAUAAUUUACUGCAAAAUGGAAUGGGAAAUAUAGUAAUGAAGAAACAAAAAAGUGAUUACUCUAUAAAUGGAGUGAUUUUUUAUUGUUUGCUCAUACUCCAUUUUCCACUCCAUAUUCGGAGUAAAUUAUGGAGUGGGGAUGGAGAUGAGUCAAGUGCUCAGGUACUCUUAAUGAGGGAAAAAGUGAUCUAGCGUACUCUCAUGUAAUCUGCCAUACUCUUAUCUGUUUUCCUACUCUUCAACUCGAUGGUCAAAGUCGAAAGUGCCCCUCUCUACUUGACCAAUGAAAACCCUCUCUACUUGACCAAUCAAAACGCUCCUUUACUUGACCAAUCAAAAAAAAGCGCGGUUUAUCUCUCUCUCCUGUCCAGGUGGAUUUUCUUAAUUAGUUUUAAUUUUUCUCCCUCCUCCCUAAUUGUUCUAAUUGUCUCUCUCGGCGGACGGCGAAGAAAGCGAGAGAAUGAAAGCUAGAGCGAUCAUUCGGAGUUUCUAUUGUAAAGGAGAUUGCGGCGAGCGUGGGUGCUGUAAUUGACCCCCAACCCAGGUCAGAUAAACUUCAGUUAAAGCAUUGUCUUGCUCUGUAUCUUAUAACUCAAUCCCAUCAUAGUGGACUCGAAUGAAUGAACUCAAUGCGGCUCGUUAGGUUGGGAUUUUUAGACAGUAGAUUUCGAAUAUAUGGGUCUUUGUGUUGUCAAUUGAGAGCUGUAUGGUGUGUUUGUAAUCAAAGUCAACAAGAAAUGUCGGGAAUCAAAGCUGAAAUCCGGAAUUAAAAGGGUGAAACUGGGUAGACUAUAAAAGUGUAAAUAGGUGAAACUUUACUGUCGAGAAAAAGUGUAAACAAGUAUAAUUUAGUAGGACUUUAAUAGCAAAACUGUAUAACUAGGAUUAACUUUAAUUGUAUACUUUUAUUUGGUACAACAGAUAAUGGGUUAUUCUUCUACAAACAUACACUUUGACUAUGAUGGACAAUAUGCGAAAUCUAGAGAUGAUUAUGAAUGGAUUCCAAGCGAUGGUCGUUUGUAUGGUAUAUCCUUUAAGACAUCAUCAUUGGAUGAGAUCACUUAUUCCUGUUUGAAGGAGAGGAUAUGCAAGAAGAAGAGCAUAGAUCCGUGUUUAAAGAGGAUGAAUCUGAGUUACAUUCCACUGGUAGUAGAACCUAAGAGGCAAUCAUAUAUUUUGGAUGAUGAAGAUGUGUAUGUGUAUCUGUCAUCAGUGGAUAAAGAGGGAAGAAGAAGUAUUUUGCAUGUAGAGGUCAUCGAAGAUAUGGAAAUAGUUCCAGUAAUGGAGCAACAAUCAGUAGUUGAGAAAGAAACCUCAUAUGGUGGGAUUACCCGAAGUUGAAGGUAAUCAGGGUGCACUCACUCUAUUUCCUCGCAUUGAAGAAGCAGAACUAUAUCUGCCGGGGGCUGAACGGGUGGAGAAUGUUGUUAUAAAUAGAGAAGCCGACGAAAGGGGCAUUAAUGUUGUUAAUGGAGAAGCCGGCGAAGGGGGCAUUAAUGUUGUUAAUGGGCAAGCCGGCGAAGGGGGCGUGGACAGUGAGGGCGACGUGGAUAACUCUAUGGGUGUUCGUCCUAGUUCGUACUAUGUUGAGCUCCCACGUGUUGCAAAAGAAAAUCCAGUGGUUAAAGAGUGGGAAGAUGGUUUGGGUCUUCAGUUGUUUCAAGAAUUUGAGAGUAAAGAAGCUGUGAAAGAUAUUAUUGAUAGAGCAUCACAGGAGAACUGUUUCGGAAUCAGUAUUUGCAACUCGGACAGGGGUCGAUAUGUGGUGAAAUGUCGGGGAGCUGAUGAAGGUUGUAAAUGGAGUGUGAGAGCAACAAAGAUAAAUAAUUCUGAAGCGUUCUCGAUUAGAACAUACAAGAAUAUGCAUUCAUGCUCUCGCGUAACUUCAAGUACUAGAAAGAAAAGGAAAGUUACACCAAGAUGUGUUGCAGCUAUAGUGCACAAGGAUUAUCCAGGACUAUAUGAGACACCAACAGCGAAAAUCCUAAAAGGUCUGGUGCAAAGGAAAGUGGGUGUGGAAGUGUCGUAUACGACAUGUUUGAGAGGAAAAAAACUAGCUGUUGCGGAUAUUCGUGGUGAUCCCGAGUAGGGAUAUAGAAUAUUGCCUGCUUAUUUGUAUAUGUUAGAGAAGACGAACCCGGAUACAAAAACAAGUUUGGUAGUGGAUAAAAACAACCGGUUCAGAUACCUAUUUGUUGCGCUGGGAGCCUCCAUUGAAGGGUUUGAAUACAUGAGGAAAGUCAUCACUGUGGAUGCAACUUUCCUGAAGACUAUUGAAUGUGGUUGUUUAAUUAUUGCCACGGCUCAGGAUCCAAACCUUCACCAUUAUCCAAUAGCCUUUGUUGUGGUUGAUGGGGAGAAAAACAAAAGCUGGAAGUGGUUUUUCACGACGCUGAAAACUGUUAUACCGGAUUCGACGGAAUUGGUGUUUGUUUCAGACAGAAAUCCAAGUCUGAUAAAAGCUGUUGCUGAAGUGUAUCCGAUGUCUAAACAUGGGUAUUGUAUCUGGCAUAUAUCGCACAAUGUGAAAGGUCAUGUCAAUCAUGGCAGGGACGAGGUUGCACUACUAUUCCGAAAGGUUGCAUGUCUUUAUUCAGAGCCUGAGUUUAAAAAGCAGUAUGACGAUUUUAGGGAGAGGUAUCCAUCGUGUGCUAGGUAUCUUGAUAAAAGUGUCGAAGUCGAACGGUGGGCGAAGUGUCAUUUCCCCGGUGCUAGGUACAACAUAGACACCUCUAAUUGUGCGGAGUCUUUGAAUGCGGUAUUUGAAAAGGCGCGAAGGAUGUCUUUAUUGCCUAUGCUUGAUACAGUUAUUGAGAAAAUGUCUGAGUGGUUCAACAGACAUAGGAAGGAUGCAGCAGAAGGACCGUCAUCUCGAAAAUUGGUUCCUUUGGUGGAGAACAAAUUGCAUAACAGAACACCAAAGGUUCUAAACUUACAGUGACUCCGCUGAACACUUUUCAGCUUGAAUACAGUGUUAUUGGAGCAGACGGGAAGACUUAUUCCGUGGAUUUGCAACAUAAAACGUGCAGUUGCAAGAAGUUUGAUAUAGAUAAAUACCCAUGUAGACAUGCAAUAGGCGCUAUCAUUAAGUGUUUGAAGCAUGAUAGACCAUUACAGUUGAGUGACAUGUACGAUUUCAUUUCGAAAUAUUACUUCAUUACACUGUGGGCCAAAGCGUAUCGAAGGACUAUAUAUCCAGUCUCUCAUAUAACUCAUUGGAUGGUUCCAAAAGAAGUCGCGGCGGCGAAGUGUCCUCUACCUCUAGACUACAAGAAAAGAAAGGGAAGACAUCAGGAAAAAAGACAUCCUUCGGCGGGAGAAAGUCGGCCCCGUCCCCGUCCUAAUAAGUAUAUCCCGAAUAGGGGUCUGGCUAGCUAUUUCAACUGCUCGCAGGGAACUGAAGGAACUGAAGGAGCUGAAGGAACUGAAGGAGCUGAAGGAGCUGAAGGAGCUGAAGGAACUGAAGGAACAGAAGGAACUGAAGGACCUGAAGGGACUCAAGGAACACAAAGCACUCGAGGAACUGAAGGACCUGAAGGAACAGAAGGAACUGAAGUGUUAUAUGAAUGUGAACCUUAGUGAAACCUGAUUAAAGUGAUUUCGUUUUAUGUUUGUAAAACUUGGUGAAACUUUCGUUAUGUAACCUUUCGUUAGUUGAUGAUUUAUAUUACAGUUGCGAUGACAUAACUUAUCCAUGUUCUAGGAAGAUGACGUGACGUAUUCAACAUGUUGUGAAAUCCGAAAAACUUCGAGUGAAAAAAAUAUAAUCUGGAACACAUUUUCUGUCGAAUGGGAAGGGAAUACAUAAUUGUUAGCUAUAUUUUUUGUAUACACUACCUCGUGGGAUUAGAAAAGUUACAUAUGUCACGAAAUCAAAUUUUAUUCUACAUGAGCACAUCUAAAACGUUGAUAGAAAAUAGAAUAUAUCAGGUAUAACCAUAAAAUCAAUCAUCUAAGUACAGUAAAACCAACAAAAUCGGAAAAAAACAGAAAAGUAAAACUUUAAAGGUUUUUGUAUAACUACAAACUAAGUGAAACUAUAAGCACGAAAAUCCUUCACCAAAAAAUCCGCGCCCAGUUUUUUGAAUUUCCCACCCAUUUUUUCGAUUUUUGACUUUCCACAAAAUCGAUGCGGAGGCGACGUAGACGUGUAUUAAACCCGCCAUUUACCUCAGCCAAUCUCUCUCUCUACUAUUCAAUCUCUCUCUAGAUUUCUCUCUACAAUCGGUCCCUCUUCUUUCUAGAUUUCUAGGUUACUCAGAAUCAUGACUCAUCCAGCCGAGGAGUAUAGGCAGAUGAAGGCUUGGAAGAGAGACACCAACAUGCUUGGCUGCGUGGCGGAUGCCGAGUGUGGGAUUCCGACCAGAUGCCCUUGUGGGGGGACAAUCAUCAACGAGGUGUCUCGGAACCUGAAGUAUCCAACCGAUUUUGAUACUUUACCGGGGAGAAAAUACUCCACUUGCAAAAAUUAUGAGGUAAUCUAUGGAAAACCCCCAGAUUUUUUAUUGAUACUUUCGGGUUUUGAUACAUUCCCCUUUUACGUCUAGAAUGAUGGCUUCCAUUUCCGUCAACCAUGGGUCUUCGGAGUCCAGGAAGAGGUUGAAAUGUUAAGGAAGCGCGUGGAUGCGAUGGCUGCAGAGAUUGCUGAACUGAAGUAUAAUCUAACCCGUCAGAAUCCCACCACUCCAUGAGAUGCGUCCGGUCCAUGACAUUAGUCUACUAUCUGUUGUUGUUGUUUGCUUGAGAUUCUGAUUUACUAAGACUCUUCGUAUUUACUAAAGUUUCCCUAUUCUCCCUCUUUCACGAUCUACGAAAUAUCAUAAAUUCACGAAGUUACACUAAGUUGAAAGUGAAACUUACACUAAAGUUUUCCUAUUCUCCCUCAUUCACGAUCUACGAAAUAUCAUAAAUUCACGAAGUUACACUAAGUUGAAAGUGAAACUAACACUAAAGUUUCCCUAUUCUCCCUCUUUCACGAUCUACGAAAUAUCAUAAAUUGAAAGUGAAACUUACACUAAAGUUUCCCUAUUCUCCCUCCCUCUUUCACGAUCUACGAAAUAUCAUAAAUUCACGAAGUUACACUAAGUUGAAAGUGAAACUUACACUAAAGUUUCCCUAUUCUUCCUCUUUCACGAUCUACGAAAUAUCAUAAAUUCACGAAGUUACACUUAGUUGAAAGUGAAACUUACACUAAAUUUUCCUAUUUUCCCUCUUUCACGAUCUACGAAAUAUCAUAAAUUCACAAAAUUACACUAAGUUGAAAGUGAAACUUACACUAAAUUUCCCUAUUCUCCCUCUUUCACGAUCUACAAAAUAUCAUAAAUUCAUGAAGUUACACUAAGUUGAAAGCGAAACUUACACUAAAGUUUCCCUAUUCUCCCUCAUUCACGAUCUACGAAAUAUCAUAAAUUAACGAAGUUACACUAAGUUGAAAGUGUAACUUACUAAAGUUUUCCUAUUCUCCCUCUUUCACGAUCUACGAAAUAUCAUAAAUUCACGAAGUUACAUUAAGUUGAAAUUGAAACUUACUAAAGUUUCCCAAUAUAUAACAUAAGUCUUAAAUACCAGUCUUCAACAUGAAUAUCCUUCAACAUCUAACAAGAAAGUCAUACAAACCGAAUAGAGUUCAUCCACAUUAAAACAACCACAUACGGAAUUCACUCGGUCUUCUUACCUACUUUCUUUGUCUUCUUAGCUGCUGCCUUCUUCGUAGCUGCUGCCUUCUUCUUAGCUGCCUCCUUUUCAGCUGCUGCCUCCUUUUCAGCUGCUGCCUCCUUCUCAGCUGCUGCCUCAUUCUCAGCAGCUGCCUUCUUCUUAGCUGCCGCAGCUGUCUUCUUCUCAGCAGCUGCCUUCUGCUUCUUUUCACCUCUGGUGCUCUUCUCUGCUGCCCUGCUUCUUAGCUGAAUGGGACUCCUCACAUUAUCACCACGGUCCACCUUAACCUUUUUCACAGGAACUGCUUCUUUGCCAUCAUCUUUUCUCGAUCUUUUUUUUCGUGUUUACAGACUCUGCUGCCUUAGUCUUUAAUUUUUUCUCGGCCUCCACAGCAUGUGCAUACAUCUCCGCAUCAUCAUCAUCCAUGUCAACAUCACCAUAUUCCCUCUGCACAUCCUUUGAAAUAUCGAGAAUGGCAUCUUCAACAUCAUUGUCACUACCAUCAUCUUCGUCUGGCUCGUUAUUGUCACCACCAUCCUCUUCCUCCGACUCCUUAUCCCCACCCACAUCACCAUCCUCUUCUUCUGACUCGCUAUUGUCACUACCAUCACCAUCAUCUUGGACCGCCGGAUUGUCACUUCCGGGAACACUCAACCUAAGACUUUUCACCUCCUCUUCUAGAAGACCUAGCUGCGUAGACAAUGAAGUGACUUUUUCCUUCACUCCCUUCAUAGCAUCUCGAACUGCAUCUCGGACUGCAUUCAUAAGCCGACCUUCCAUCGCUUUUAAAGCCUCAGCUCCAGGAGUAGCUCCAGUAGCCUCCACCGAAUCUGCAUGAGCCUGACCAGAUUGUGCAUUAUUCGAUGGUCCUCCGAUAGGAUUGGUGGGACCUUCAAUCUGACCUGUGCGAGACUCAAAAUCCAUGCGGAACUUUUCUUCAAAGAAAACUUGUUUCUUCUCUUUCCGUAUUAUCUUCGUCCAACGAUCAACUGCUGCAUCAUCGGCGUCAUCGGCCCAACAACUCUCCUUGUCCAUUCCUAUGGUUUCCAGAAGUUCCUCCUCAGCUGAUGUUGCUACCAAGAUACUCUCAAUAUCCUGUGGUAAAAACACAAAAAAACUAAUUACUUUAGUUUCACCAAGUUUUCAUAAGUCUCAUAAGUCCCUUCUCCACAAUUCGACUACACAUAAAACAUCAAUUACCUAUGUAUUAUUACCAAGUUUAUCGUUCACAGCUUUCAGUCUGAAUUCCUUGGUUCCACUUUUCCGUUUGUACUGCAUCUUGCACAUCCGCGGACAACCUCUGCUUGCACCAUAAACAUCUUCUCGGAAAUGGUUCCUCAAGCUUGGAAUUGGCUCAAAGGCCAACAACUACCAACACACAACAAAAAGACAUUAACAUCAAUUAAACAACUAUGUUGAAGGGAGCUUGAGAAUACCUCCAAAGGGAUAGGAAAGCUUGUAAAAACCCAACUCGUCGGCGCAACCCCGUCGCAUUUCUCCAAAAAGCUAGAGACAUCCUUCAAGUUAUGUUCGAAUGCAUACCGCCCCCAAGGGAACGUUACACACACAUCUAGGUCAUCAACAACACGCAGGAAGAAACUGUCCACAGGUGAUGCUUCCUCACCACUCUUUCGGCCUCCGACAAGGAUGCUGGCUAAGAAGAACAUAACGACCAUCUUCUUACGAUCCUCAGAUGGCUUUGAUUUCAUUGCCAACAUCUGCUUCUCCAGGUCAGCGUAUGUUACCCUUCUCCCUCCAAAAUACUUGUUCAUGAAUGUUAUACCACCCAACCUCUCAUGGUUGGGGGGAUACUCAUGGCAGUAUAGACCAGAAAUGAGUCCUAAUUCUCUAAGAGAAUAUCGGAUUGGGACGCCAUUAACGACAAACCAUAACUCAUACUUCUUCGCAACACAUGCUGAUCGCAAAACGAGAACCCAUAUUCCCAUCCACUUCUGCUUUCGGUUUUUAAUAUGGAAGAAAUGUUGGAAUUGUGGGUGCUCUAUGAACCAUUUCACCUCCUUCUCUUUCAGGAUCGUUUCAAUAGUUGUUAUCGCCGUGUCAAUGUAACACUUUCCUGAAAAGCUUUAAAGACUUUUGAUAUUCGCUUGAAGGAAAGUGCAACUUCAGCGGUCGCAUGCCCUCUUCUUCGUCAUCUACAACCUGCACUCAAGUGAGAACCGGAUCACGUACGACAUCUUACAACCAUCAACAUAUAGUUUCACAAACUUCGACUUAGUUCAGCAAUCACUAACUCUAAAUUCCACUUAGUUUUCCACACUUAUCUAAUCUUUCAAAUCAUCUAUGUAAAAGUUUUCAAUUUCAAUACUUACCGAAUCUGCAUGCGACUCAGUUUCAUGUUGUCGACUCGGAAUUAUCGCAGCUUCUUCGUCGUUUCUUCGGGGCUCUAUUUCGUCUCCGAUUUCCUUCUCUUUUUCUCCUUCCUCUCCGACUUCCUUCUCUUUUUCUCCUUCCUCUCUGACUUCCUUCUCUUUUUCUCCUACGUCUCCGCCUUCCUUCUCUUUUUCUCCUUCGUCUACUUCUCUUGAUUCCUCCCCUUCAUUUUUCUUACUUGAUUCUUCCUCUUCACCUUUUCCACUUGCAUUUUCUUCGCUUUCAUUUGCAUCUCGGGGACUUUGGUCGGUUCCUGGGGCGACAGAUUUGUCAAUAAUCCUUGGGUUUGCUUCAUCUCCGGAGAAUGAACCCAUUGCCAUUUCAUCUCCUACUACACUACUCGAGCCGUCUUCUUUUGCCUUCGUAUCGUCUCGAUUCAUCAUGAUUUGGGUUUUUGAUUGUCGAUUGAGGAUUCGAAUUGAGUAGGGUUUUCAGAGAGAUUCGAAAAGUUUUCAGAGAACUCGAAAUUAAAGAAAUUAAAUUCUACAGCUAUUCACUUAGUGGAGUACUUAGUGAGAGGAGGGGAAACGUUUUGAUUACGUUUUCAGGAAUUCAAUUUCUGGAAGUGGAUAUCCGAUUUGUUUGGGUCGGUUCUGGGUCCGGGUUUGGAUAGUCCUAGGUAAAGUUAUAAUUAUGGAAGUUUCUCUUGGUUUCGUUGUCUUUUAAUAAAUUUUCUAAUUUAAUUAAAGAUAUAUUAAAUUCCAAAUCCGGUCAGUUUCGGGCAGGAGUAUCUCAGCUCUUUUUUUUCGGGCAGGAGUAUCUGAGCGUUUAAUUCGAUGGAGAUGCCCUAACUCACAGCUGUAUCUUGCGAACCUUUGUCCACUGAUAUCCCUCCUCUCACACAUUAACUUUUUACCCUAAAUGAACUUUUUGGCUAAUUUCUAAUAGUAAUAUUUUUUGUGCUGCUGAAAUAUUAAUUUUUUUUUGUUAUACAGUGGUAUUUUGGUCCCACAAAAUUGGUCCAAACUAGUCAUGUGUUACUACGUGUCGGUCUCCUAUCCCUAGCGAUGCCAAAAUAUUAAAUCUCCAGUGGCCGGGACUCGAACUAGUAAAAAUACUAAUCUACACAUAGGAUGGAAUAUCAUAUAUAUAUAUAUAUAUUUUUUUUUUUAUUAACAAGAAACACAUUACAUCUUAGAAUUUUUAUUAUAUUAAAAAUAAUUAGUAAACAAAUAUUAACAAAUUCUAACAAUAAUAUCAUAGUAAUUAGAUUUAUUAGUUAGGUUUAUCUUAAAAGUCUAUUCUUUUCAACCACAACUUCAAAAAGCGCUUAAUUUGAAACCUAAGUUGCUUUUUUUUUUGUAACACCAAACUUAUAUUAAAAGUUUAAGGAGCAUAAGAGUUUACAACUGAAGCAGAAGAUCUCGAAGCCAUGCUCGACGGUACAAAGAAAAUAGAAAACAUUAUGAAACAUAGAUAGAUAAAGCCUAUAAGAGGCGAGUCAAGCUCAGCAAGAUGAAGAACCCCAUGGAGAAGUUUCACCUUAAUCUCUAAGGCGAUUGUUCGCAAGAACAAUUGAUAGUCGAAAUCGACGUUGAUACACCAAUAAGAAGCGGCUGGAGUGUUACCUGCCAAGAGCUUUUGGUGAGAAGCUCCAGGACCUUGGGCAACACCGAGAAGAAGAAGUCCUAUAUGACUGGAUUUGAUACUAAAGUUGACACGAUCAGUUCUAAACUCAACAAAGCUUCUCAAUGAGACUAGGUGAAUCUCAAAAGCUAGCUUAGCCUUCAUAGGGACGCUUAGGACAAUGGAGUAAGAUGACGGACUGAAUGGUUUAAUCGUGUCAAAACCUCGGACCUCAACAUUACCGUGUCGAAGCCAAUAGUUUGAAACAGAGAUAAACCUGAGCAUAUUAUCAUCACACUCGUUCUGGUUGAGCUUGUUUGAGCAAACGUCGGAUAAGAGGCAGAGCGUUUCAGUACGGUCGAGUCUCCUUGCACAAGACUUCGGAGUAACACUCCGACUUGUUGGAAUGAGAGCACAUGGCAGUGGAGAAGGAGAUAUCACAAGGAACACCCCAUUAGGGGGACGGCUAGGUGAACCGGAGGUACGCAAACAGAUUAGUACUAGAUGCAUUUUGAGGUACAGUACCUUCUUGUCCUUGAGACUAAUAAGCUGGCUAGACACGCCAAUCACAAAAAUUGAUGCCAUCCUGCAGGUUUUGGGCUGUGAAGUAAUGCAGCUAAUGGGCUCUGAUGGUGCUGUAUAGAGACGGCCGCAUUGGGUUAUUGACCACAGAAGGAGGAUGUCGACGGUGAGAAAGCUGUAGUGGUCGUUUGGAAGGGAUGCACCAGUAACUAGGAGAGGUCUGUUGCCAAGGUAGAGGAGCCAGUGAGCAGAGGACAAGGAAACAGCUUCCUGAGAGUCCUUGAUAACUAGAUCUCGUCGAGCAUAACAGAUAAGGUACAUGGGUAAGAGUUGAGCAUCGACAAAACAAGUCACUCCCGAUACUUUGAAAAUCAAAAGCCAGUCCUCAAGACUUUGAUUUGUUGUGUACUGGAAGGAGACUAGCUUGAAAUUGAUGUUUUCUUCAACCCAAAAGCUCACUUCUACAUCCAUAUCUUGCACAACUAUAGACAAGGCCCUUGCGGCUAGGUUUAGAGAUGAAGUUUGGUUUUUAAACUGAGUGUUCUUUGUCGAGAGUGUUUGGAGAUGAAGAUCAGAGACAUCAGAACUCACAGAUCUGAAGUUCAUCCUCUUCACGUCAUGGCUCACAGAGCUGGGACACGGGUUCCCGGCGGAGUAAGAGCAGAGACAGUGGUGAGAGGGAGUGAAGUUGAAGCAGACUGUUUGAGAUUCCUUAGCAGCAGCAGAAGAGGAGCAGGCGAGAAGAUGUACGGCGGCGACGUGGAAGAGAGCAACGUCUGGCAGGUCUGGUGGUUCCGGAGGAAUGACAGGAGAGAGCGAGAUUCAAGCGGGGCGUUCAAACACGGUGACAGCAGCGGAUCUGGAGGAGGCCGGAGACAUGACGGAGGAGUAGUCAUCAUCAUGGCUAUGGAGAGGAGCAGAGCUGCUUCAGUGGGAGGAGGGAAGAGCGGCGUGGCUGUAGCAGGGGAGAUUCAUCGGAGGCGUCUUGGGAUGCGGGCCUGAGAGAGUUUUCUCUAGGGCAAACUCGCAUUUCUCCAGAAUGUUAUCUUUUAUUUUGAAACCUAAGUUGCCUUAUGAUGGUUUAAUUAUAAUUAAAAAAAUUUAGACCCUAGAUCUUCACCGAUUAAACAAAAAGAUGAAAUACAAAUUUUAAUACAUCAACUAUCAAUAUAAAUAUUAAAGUUAGAUAAUUUUUAAUAUUAAUUUAAAAUCUAUAUAUAAUCUAAAAUUUUAAGUUUAUAAAAAAUUAAACAUUUGGGUAUACAUAUAAUACUCCGCACAAGAUGUAUGUAUGCACCUGAUAUGAAUAUAUUUGAUAUUUACGAAUCACAUAUCAUAAUUUAUAUUUAUAAAAUCACUAAGCAAAAAUACUCUUGGAAAUUUUUAACUAUUUUCCAAUAUAUAUAUAUAUAUAUAUAUAUAUAUAUAUAUAUAUAUAUAUAUAUCACAUAGUCAUUUUUAAUCUAAUAGUAAUCUUCACAGAAAAUCAUUGAAACUUAGUACUAUUACUAAUUAUACUAAACUAAGUAUUUUAUUUAUUAGGAUAGUAUAUUUUUGAUAUUUGUAAUUAUGUAAUAUGUUUUUAAUUGUUAAACUGCUAUUACAUUUGAUAGUUAAUUAGUCAUAAGUAUGAAAAUACAUAUGGUUGUAACCAAUGCACUAGUUAUAUAAAAUAGUUUAAUAACUCUUGAAAUUGCAAUCCCCUCAUAUGUACCUGUUGGGUUCAAACUAGUCAUACCCUUAUUAUCUAUGGAUUUAUAGGAAUAUUCAAUAUUCACUAAAGUUAAUGUUUUUUAAGUUUUUUUCUUUUGAAACUUUUAUGGAGUCUAUAUAGCAGUGCUACUUAGUUAAUGAAAGAAGAAAAAAAAUAACCAAGAUCAUGGGAGUAGUAUAUUCAUCUUCAUUUCUUCAACUGAAGCUGAAAAUUUAUUUCUCUUUUUUUUUUAACUUAAGGCUAUGUUUACAAAAUAAGGAAGAUCAGAAGUACGAAGAGCUCUUUUGCUCUUUUGCUCUUAAUUAUUCUAUUGAGAAAAGUUGAGUACUAAUACAUUUCUUCUUGCAGCAACUAUAAAAUGUACAGCUUUAUCUUUAAGCAAGAAGACUCUACAUGCUUUCUCCAAUUUACUCCUACAGAAUUUGUAGGAGUUUCAACUAAAGAAAAUGAAAAAUGUUCCAAUUCAACUUUUACCAUUAUCUUUCUUUCAGUCAGUGAGUGUAUUCCCAUUUACCAUUGGCUCCUUUAGAAGCUGAGCUUCUUCAACAGAAAAUUCUUCUGCUUAAACCCCACUUUAAUGAAUUGGAGCCCCAGUGAUUGAAUAGCACUUCAAAUCAUUAAUUAAACGUUCUAGUUCAGUUUGUGGAGCUCGAUCAUCUUAGGGGUUAGAUGUUCUGGCGAAGAAGCACUGGGACAUGACUUAGUGUCAUGUUCUUGACCAGAUUCAUUUCCCUGGAAGCCCCAUAACUCUUUAGCUAUGGCGUCCCCUUCCUCUGUAAAACAAAGUUAGAAAAUAAUGUUAAAUCUCUCAUACGCUAAUCAAGUAAACCAAAAAAAAACAAUGGUCUGAAUUCAAACCUGGCUUCAAUUUCUCAGGAUCUGGUAACUCCAGAUUUGAGAAAGGAGUACUGCUUUCACCGUUGCUCGAUGAUUUCUGAAGGUGUAAUGGUAUUUGGGAGUAUACACUAUGCAACUUUUUGUGUAACUCUUCCAUCCUUCCUGUCAUUUCAUCAGCUCUGUCCAUGUCUAUAAGAACCUGAAAGAAAGAAACUGAUUUAUGAAGCACCGAACAUAGUGUGAACAUAAAAGCUAUUGGUCACAUAUUGAUCUAACCUGAGCAGGAUGCUUAUGGAAUAUUGGCGCAAAUCUAUGCCGGCAAUACUCACUAAAGAGCAGAGUGAGGAGAAUCAACGGUAUGGUGAAACCCGAAGCAACGGUUGAUAGCUUUAGUCCGAAAAAACCCAAAGCAAUAAUCUGUGUCAAGAUCAGUGAGAAGAUUGUUGUGUUGUGAAAGAUAGGCCAGUAUUUUCCACCGCUUUCGUACUUCGUAAUAUACACGUUGAGUAUCUGCAAAUUGAGGGUAUCCAAAAGAUCAUGAGCCUGGCAGUACAAGUUCAGAAAUGAUAAUUUGAAUACUUAACUGUGGCAUUAUGUUAGAGAGGUCAGAGAAGGUAUGGAUUGCAGACUUACCUGAUUUUUGUAUAUUAGAUAUGCAAGGAAGAAGUAUAUCAGCAAAAACGGUAGAAUAAGUGGCGCUAUGACUGAGUUGGUGAAACCCAGGAGCCCAAACAAAAGCAACCGAGGAAUUUCGGUAUGGUAUGGGAACCUAAGUGUUUCGUAUGACUCAUCCUUGUUCGUUGAAAUAGCUUUUGCUGCCAGAUUCCAUAUAAGAGCCAUAGGUUGCAUUAUUUCACAAGCCAAACUGGCCCAACCAGAUGUGAAACAAUAGGUCGUAAAGAAGCCAGCCUGCAUAUGUCAACGAUUGAAGCCAUAUUUAGAACCAAUGAACUUUUUCUUUCUAAUAAACAAUAAACAUGUGAGGUGCUCAAAUUAUAAAUCGAGAUGUGUGUAAUUCCUCCACUGGCCUACAUAUUCUCCAGUUUAUGGUUUAUCGAUGUGCAAGAGAACACUACAUACAAUCUGAUCUUGGCAAAAUGUAACCAAACUAUCUCCAAGUGACUGUAGAAGCUUAAACACUGGCAAAUACUUAUGUUUUUGUGAAAUGUAUAUUACCUGUGUCGGCACUGCUCUUGCAAGUUGUGCAGGUAUGUCUCUGACACUAGAGAAGACAUUCAGUUGCCUGAUAACAGACCCGGAUAAAAUAUUCACGAAGAACACAUUCCAAAUGGUAAAAUAUAAGAUUUUGAUGCAUGCACUAUUCUUCCUUAUACUCCGUGAAAUACAUCCCUCCAAGGCUGAAAAAUACAUCAUCAGUGGUGGAACGGCAUAGAAAAACAGAAUCAGUAUCACACUGGGUAAGUACCCUGUGAUGACCUGGUUUAUAAACUUCCUGCAAAAUAGUUUGAAUGGUUGGUUAACUUUAAAGAUGUUACAAGUUAAAACCAAUUAAGAACAUAUAUAUAUCUCUAACUUUACUUUCCUUAUGGUUUUAAAUGUAAAUAAAGUACUCACUUCUUCAAGAUGCCUCUUAAAAACGGAAAUGCAUGAGACAGCUGUUCCAACUGAGUCAGACCUUGAAUGAAGGUCACAGGAAUAAGAAACACAAACAUGAAGGCAACUGCGCCAACAAGAGUUGCUAUUCUCCGUAUCCAAAGUUGUCGAUAAGGUAUGUUAAGAUUCCUCCAAUACACAUCGUGAGGUUCUGGAGCUAAGUCCGACACCCAUAACAUAGGAUUUGAUGAUUGUAGAACCUCUGAAACAACAAGUGCAUCGUAGCGUGUCUUAAAAAACACAAAAGCAGCUGGACGUUCCUGCAAUUGAGCAGAACAUUUUGUGGCUUUAGUUAACUAUGACUUCCAUACAAAGAAGGCAGUGUUACUUCUAAGAUCAGGGAAAGUCAGAAGAAUUCCUUACUUGCUCUGUUGUAGUCACAGUCAACUCACCAAGCUCCAUUCCUUUCACACUGUCACCUUCAUUAGAUAGGAUAUGAAACGAAUUUGUGGCUGUAGGUCCUCCACAAAAGUUACAUGGAGUCAAACUCGGUUUACAACUGAUUUCAGGAGAAACAUGUUUUAGACUCAGGCACACCCUCUCUGCAUCAUGCUGAGACAGAAAUUGUGGUAAUCUAAAGGUCAAAAUAUUUCUACAAUAUAGAACUUCAAUCUCAAAUAUGUUUCUAACUAUUUCUGUUUUUAUUCAAAAUGAAAGCGCUACAGUUAGUACAAGAAGAUCCUUUAUAUCCGAUAAUAUGAAUCUAAACUAUAUACCCGUUUAGCUGAUACUCAAACUAAAUUUAACCAUUAUAUCUACUGUUCUAUGUAAGAUCAUCCAUCUCUGCAUGUAUUUAUGAAAUAAAUAACCCUUUAUAACAUCUAAUCAUCACAUUAUACUUCAGAACCAUGAAGCUCUGCACCAACUACGAAAGUUAUUAAAAUUGAAUGCCGAAAGAAGAAGAAGAAACAAACACAACAUAGGCAAUAUUUUCAAAUCAUAUUCACAAAGAGCAAUAACAGAAGUGUAUAACAAAAAUUCUUUCUGACAAGGUACACCAAGAGGUUACCUGCAUCCUAAAAAGAGCUUAAAACCCGACAGACAACAAAAUAAACAGACCACUGAGUGGCCCCAUGAGAAUACAUACCAGCAAUCUCUGAAUGAUGCCAUUAUGGUAAACCAUCUGGUGGGACAAAUAGCUUGAUGAAUAGUAAUUUAUGAAGUAUUUGCUCAGGGUGUCGCUGUAAGAUUGCUCAGGAUGCCAUGGAAUAGCUCGGAUAAGAACGGUAAAUUGACUUGGCUUUGGGGCAGAACUAGUAAUAUGUCCAAGCCUCAUUUUGGCUAUGGUCCUAUACUCCUACAGUAAAAAGAUGUUUAAGAGGAGGAAAGGCAAAGUAGAGAAGAACCAAGAGGAACCAAGAGUAAAACAAGAGGUCUCACAAAGUAGAGAAGAAGACAUGCUGCUGAAGUUAUAAUGUACAGUGCAAGACAAUGAACCCACAGCCUAAGCGUAAAGUUGCAAAAAAAAAAAAAAAAAAAAAGAAAGAAAGAUCAGCACUUCACGCACUUUGUAUAGAACAACGUUGAACUAUAGUUCCUCACAGAGAAAAAGGUAGAAGUGAAAGCUACACAUUUUAAAGCAAAAUCACGAUUACCAUUUUGAACCUUCUUUAAGAUUUUCGAUAGUGAACACUUCGGAUGACUCCAAAUGAAUUUCCUUGUGCAUCCUCGGUUGGCCAUAAUAAUUUACAGGCAGCACAAAGGCAAUACAAACAACAGCAGUAAUAAAGAAAAUACGAAUGCUGCAAGAAAAAAAAAAAAAAAAAAAGGUCAAAAUAGUUGUGAUAAUUUAUGAAGAACAAAGAAAAAGCAUUUGGGGAAGGAGAAUUUGCAGUAACCUGAAAAUGACCAUCCUGAGGAAAACAACAGCGUCAAGACCAGCAGCAGUUAAUAACUCAUCUUCGCUAGUUUCCCAUGCUUUGACCAGCCAACUUGGAGAAGGCACAAACCUUUCGUACCAAAAAGGAUCAUAACGUCUAGCACCUCCACAAACAAGCCUUCGUCCAAAAUAGACACAGUAAUUGGCUGGCUGUUUCCUAAGUACGGAAUAAAGUGAGAGAAGCACAAUGCAUAUCGAAAUGUUGAUCCCAGCAGAUGUUAAAAGAGCUGCAAUCUCCAUCUCAAACCCUCCUCACUAAAAAUUGGCAGGCAGAGAAGAACUUCAUAAGCCUAUUCAAUCAGCAAAGAAACUGUAAGGAAAAGACAGACAAAUACGAAGUUUAAAACUCUUCAUUGCGGAGAGAGUAAUCUCCUAAUUGGAGAAACGUGUUGUAUGUUGUUGAAUGGGGGAAUUGUUGUUACCUAUGCUUAGCUUAAAAUCCAUAUCUUAACGGAUCUAAUAAACAACAACCUCAACAAGAAAGAAUACAUAAUAAGCAGUACCUAAACUACAACACUAAUGCUCUUAGAUCCAAGUAAUCAAUUUCUGUUUUCUCCGUACACAAUUCAUUUUCUUCCUUUCUCAGACUCAAAUUCCAUUGUUACCUUUUCGAAUCAAAGCAUUACUACGAUAGAGGAAAACAUUAACCAAAUCCAAAAACAAUACCAAGUGAAACAACGAAACAAGAGAUCUUCGCCGUGACAAAUUAAACGCCAAAACUUUGGUUUGACUUCCGAGAAAUCAAUCACAGGACGAGAGAGAAUACAGAAACCCUAAGAACUCGCAGAGAAGAGAAACACAAAGAAUAAAAUAAAAAGAAUAAAAAUGACACCAAAUUGCUUUUUCAAUUCCAAUCCCGCGAGGAAUUCGCGUUGUUCCAGUUCAUAUCUUAUUAAACGAUACAUGAAAAAUAAAUAAAUAAAUAAAUGAAAAAUGCGAUAAUAUUAUUAGGUGAGGAGGAAUGCCACGCUGUGUGGCCGGCGCGAGGCGGGUGCCACUGACACGCCACGUGUCAGAAUGGUAGCGGUUGUUGCAUGGAUAUGUGAGAGCGACUAUUCUACCAUUGAUUUUAAUGUGUUGGUACGAUAAUGACACGUGUGGACCACAAUCAUUUCCGUGACGCUUUUUCUUCUAACAUUCAAGUAUUAUUUAAGACUGGCGACAAAAUAGGAAGGUUAAGGUAUGUGUUUUUCUAGCAGUGAUGACAUUAAAAGUUAGAUUUAAUAUCUCUACUAGAUUCUGAAUCUGAUCUAUAUUUUCAAAACGUGAAAUUAUAAUUUAAAUAUUUUCUAAUAUAUUAUAUUUUUUAGAUAAUACAUAGUUCUGACUUUAAGAAAUUACAUAAUAAUAUAUAAUUAUAGAUAUAAAGUUUAACAUAUGCUAACAUAUUUGGUUAUAAAAAUAUUAUAUAAAUUACGAAUUUAAUCCAUUCUAACGAUGGAUGAUAUUUUUUUGUCAACUUCAUUAUCUAAUAUAUAAUAUUUUUUGAUAAUACAUAGUUGUGACUUUUAAAAAAUACAUAAUAGUAUAUAAUUAUAGAUAUAAAGUUUAACAUAUGCUAACAUAUUUCUUUAUAAAUAUAUUAUAAAUAUUAUGAAUUUAUCCCAUUCUACCGGUGGAUGAUAUUUUUUUGUCAACUUCAUUUUGUUAUUAUAUUUUAAAAGGAUAAUACAAUAAUUUUUGCAACCAAAGAGAAUGUGCAUAGAAAUAUGAACAGAUGACAAGAUUUCAAAUUAUUUUUUGCAAGUAUAUCUGCUGCUUGGUUUAUUUUCCUGUUGACAUGAUCCAAUGAGCAUUGUGUUAAGCAUUACGGUGGAUGAUAUUUUACUCAUCUAUUUAAAUGAAAGUAGUGUUUUAAAAAAUAAUAUAGGUUAAUAUAUUAAUUUAAUAUAAUUUUCUUAUUUAAUUUCAUAUAGUAAUUGUAUUUUCAUAUAAUAAAGACUAAGGUUAUGAAAAUUUAUAAAAUUUUAACAUAGAGUUUUUUUUGUUUUAUAGUAAAGUUUUUGUUACUAUAAAUUUAUAAUAUAAUUAUGGUUUAAUCAUGAAAAUUUUUUGUAGGAUUUCAUUUUUCUCAACAUAUUUUUUAUAAUUAAAAGUAAUAUAUAUAUAUAUAUAUAUAUAUAUAUAUAUAUUCACAUCAGAUUUGUCAUUAAUAUAUUUAAUGAAUAAUAAAAUAUUCAAAUAUUUCUAAAUAACAUAUUUUGUAAAUAAUACUUGAACUAAAUGUUAGUUUUGUACUAUAGUUAUGUUUUAAUAAGAUAGAUAAUUGAACAAGUAUCUUUUGAAAGUAUCAUCAUACUAUUAAUUGAAAACACAUUUAAUAUUAUAAUUUGAUUGGCUGAUUAAAUUUUAAAUGUGACUUUGCAAAGGUGAUGAGUCAUAUGUGACUCAUCAAAACCUAGGAUCAGUCUCUCUAAACAUGUUGACUUGGCUAAUGCAAGAUCAGCUUCUCUAAACUGUUAUUAAUUACCCAUUUCUCAAUCUCGAUUUGUGUUAAUCUAUCAUCAGGUUGUUCUAAAAAUUCCCUAAUGUUAUUAUCCUCUAAUCUCAAAUAAUAAUUUCAAAUCAUAGUAUUGAAAAUUUUGUUUUAUAAAUUUAAGUUUCAUUUUUGGUUUAAGAUAUAUAUAUGUGUGUGGUUUAUAUAUACAAAAUUGGAUUAGUACUAUUGAUUUAUGAUUUCAUGUCUGCAUACGCUAUCCAUUUAUAUACAUAUAGCAUUAAAAUUUAUAUAGUUUAGGGUUUAGAGAUAUGGGACUACUUUUCUCGGUGGGCGGGAUGAUCCGUCGACAGCUUCUAGCUCCGGUGGUGUAUCUGCACCAGAUUCGUCCCUGAGAGCCAAUCUCAGGAAAUACCACCGCAGACGACGACUCACCAGUCUGUGCCUCUUCCUACACCUUAUGUGCUUCCUCCACCACCGUGUGUGCCACCACAGCAUCCGCACCAUCCUCCGCAGCAUCAGCACAUCCCCAAAAUGCUGCCCCGGCUCCUGACCCUCCUGCAGCACCUGCCGCAGGACUUCAUCUGGACUUGAUGGUGCCACCGGAUGCUCCGUAUGCCAGGUAUACGGUCGAGGAUCUGCUCCAAAUGCCUGGUCGCGAAGGUUUAACCAUCAUCGACCACUUUAAUUCAGUUAUAUAUCUAAUUUAAUUGUCCGUCAAAAUUUUACAGGUUUAAGACGGACAAGGACCUUGGAAAAUCUGUUUUGGAGACCAUCAAGUCAUACUUCAAAGAACCACAUCCGAACUGAAGUCUUACACCUGACUAUGUUCGAAGGGCUUGGUUCAAGUAUUUUGCGGUAAGUUUAAAUUAUUAUAAAAAUCAUAUUUUCAAUUUUGUUUAUUUAAAUUUUAAACUAAUCAUUUUUUGCAGAAAAUGGAAUUGGUCUAUUGCCGUCAACGAGAGAGUCAAGGAGGUUUUCAACCAAAAGGCGAUGGAUCACCUUAAGAACAAUGUUGGUGACUGGAAAGAGAAAUGGCGGUUUCACGAGGAUGCUGCAAAACCGACGUUCAUCAGCGACUACGUUUGGACAGGCCUGAAGGCCUAUUGGAUGAAUCCUCGCAAUAUUUGCACGUCGAACAAUUGCUCAGUGGCCCGGUUGACCCCUGAUUCUGAAGGCAAUUUAUCGUUGCCCCAUACUUCUGGACAGACUCCACACGCCGGAGUCGCCUUGAUGAUGGUAAGUAUUAUUUAUUUCUUAAUUAAUUUUUUUUAAUUAAUAAAUAAUUUAAUUAGUUACUAAUGCAUAAAUUUUUAUAAUUUUUGUACGUAGGCCACUGAGGAAGGAGCACCACCAUCCCUUUCUCAACUUUACAAGAAGACACACAGCCAUAAAGAUGUCACAUUUGUCGAUGCUCGGGCAGAAAGGAUCCACAACGAAAUGGAGGCUUGGAUCGAAGAGGUUCAGACCAGUUGUCUCAACAAAUACGGAUGCCCCACCGGUCCAGUUGUCAACCGUCGAGCAGGAUAAAAUUUUUGAACAUGUAAAUUAAUAUGUUUAUUUACAUUUUUUAUAUAUAUUUUUUAUAUUUUAAGAUAUAUUUACUAAUAAUAAAUCAUACUUAAUUAUUUAUUGAAGAUUAUCCCGAAGAAAAGGGGAUGGAAGGUCAGGAUCGGUUCGGUGAACGAUGUUCCUAGGGCGAUAGCAGCUUACGCUGCUACAAGGGAGGAGGAACAUGUUCGGCUCCGUGCAUAUUUGACAGCUGCCAACGGAGUCAUCUCGGAGCUGCAGACCACCAAAGAGCUUUUUGCGAAAAUGUUUGACCUCGUCGCGGAUUCAAACCCGGUGCUUGCGCAGCAGUGGCGGAAUGUACGUCCCCGCAUUCACCGCGACCCCACUCAUGAAGAGCAACCGGAGUUAGAGAGACAAGCCGAAGUCAAUAGUUCCCAGCUCCGCGACGAUCUUAACCUUCAUUAGAUUUUUUUUAUGUACGUAUUUUGUGUUUCUAUGUUUUCUAUUUUGGAUAUUACAAUAUUUUAAUAUAUUAGAUUUUUUAAAAAUUAGAAUUAAAUUUUUUUUGUAAAGUUUUUUUUCUAAUUUUAAAAUUUUUUGAAUAAAUAUUUUAUUUAGUAUUUGAAUAUCAAUGUAAUAUUGUCGUGGAAUUUACGACGUGUUCACGUCGAAGUCGAUGUAAGCUCGCCGUAGCAAUUAAAAUGACAUUACAUCGAUCUUCGAAGUGAAUUCGUCCUAAUGUUUACGUCCACGAAAUCAUGUUUUUACGUCAAACAUGUCACGUCAAUAUUACAAUGAAUAAUUACAAUGACUUUACGACUAGAGUUGAGGAUGUAAGCUUACGUCUACUUUACAAUGACUAAUGUUACGACGAAUUAACAUAUACAGUGUUUCGUCGUAACUGUACGAAGAUUUUACGUCGAUGGCCCGUUACGACGAGCUAUUAACGACGAUAGUCAAAUCGUCCAUAAGUCGUCGUUAUUGGCGUAUAACGACGAUAUAACGACGAUACGUGCAGUCUUUAUGCCUUUGUUUUCUUGUAGUGAUAUAUAUUGUUUGAUCCUACAACUGAACAUGUUGAUAAUUUCAUAAAUAUGUACAUAUAGUGAACUCAUGAUCAUGUUUUAAGUAGAAUGAAUAUGAAUUAGAUGUUUUCAAUCAGGUAUCAUUUGGUAAUUAUUUAGAUAUCCACAUUAAGUUUUUCUCGAGAAAUUUUCAAAAAGAAAAAGACUUUACCCGGUAUUUUAGAGUCAACAUCGGUAAGUAUUAACUAAAUCAGUUUUUGUUUAUAUCUUAUUGAUUUUUUCGUAUAUAACCAUAUAUGCCGAGUGUUAUAUUAUAUGUAGUUUGGAAAACGGGUUGUUGUGUCACCAUCAAAGGGACUUCCAAAAUUGGUAUUAUUGGGGAUGAAACACAUGUAAUCUGAAAGCUCAGGAAUAUGGAGAAUUUUCUGGCGAUGAUGGAACUCAGUCGAAGUACAACUGUAAGACGUGUAGCGAUGUUAAUCUGGUUUUCCAAAGGAACAUUCUAUUAGAUAUGCGUAGUUAGUUUUAUAACAUUACUAGAGCUUGGUCCACGUAUCCGUGCGAUUAUUUGUUUUUUAUUUUAUUAUAAAUAAAUAUUUAUUUGUAUAAGUGAUAAUAUAUAUUUUAAAAUUUACCCGCUUAAAUAAUAUUUUAAUAUGACAAAACACAAUAAUUUUAUAUUUUAUAUUGAUUAAUUUUAUUUUAUCAUGUAAACCAUUAAUUGGAUUAUCAAUAUUUUUAGAAUAUGACAUGUAUAUCCACGCAAAUGUAUUUUUUAUUUUUUAGGGAUCAAAAUUUUAUGAUAAUGUAAAAUAAAAUUGUUGUAUAUACUAAUUUUUAGUAGAUCAAAAUUUUAUGAUAAUGUAUAAUAAAGUUGUUGUAUAUACCAUUUAUUAUGUAUAUAUGGAAUUAAUAAAAAUAAUUACCAUAUAAUGUAUAUAUUUUAUUACGAAAUGUAUUUAUUUCCAAACACGCAUAUAUCUAAUAAAAUAGGAAAAUAAAGAAUAAUAAAAUCUAGUUUUAUUAGUUAUUGUUGCCAUAAAUUUUUAUUUAGAAAUUCAUUAAUUAAAGAGGAAAAGAAAAAAAAUUCCUAAAAGGUAUGUUAAAUUAAUAUCUUUAGUGGCAUGCCAUUGUAAAUAAGUAAAACUAAGGGAUAUUUUAUUUUUGUAUUUUUGUUUUAAUAGAUUAGAAAAAUUAUAUAGCUUAGUUCUGAGUUGCUUAAAUUUAUUGUUGGAAAGAUAAUUAUUUUUUAAGGUUUCUAUAAAAGGGGACGAUAAUAAGUUUGGAAAAUCACGUUAUGUUGUGGAUUGUUAUUUGGAUGACCAAGACAUUACUGAUAAUUGGCUUGAAAAUUCCUUUCAGAUAUUAAGAUCUUUAUACUUUCUUUACACAUCAAAUAAUUCUUAUAAUUGACUCUUUAUACUUACAAGUGCAGCUUUUAAUGCUUACAAGUGCUGAAGAUUUUUCUGAAUCAUCUCUGGCCGAUACACAUACACCAAAAUCAAAGAAUGAUAACCAAGGAAUUGAUGUUAAAGAUCAACGAUUAGUUGCAAAACAGAUUAAAAUGGAAAAUAAUAAAUGAUUUACUGGUUUUUCUGUUGUUGUCGAUUUUAAUGAUUUAGCUACUUCUAUUUGGUUGUGAUUGUUUCAAAGUUUGGUAUUUCCUACUUUAAAAUUCAAUAAUGAUGAUGUUUUGGUAAAUUUAUAUCUUAUUAUGUUUGAAUUUUGUUUUUUUUUGUAAUACAUGUUAAUUAAAACUAUUUAUAUAGUUUAAGAAUUCACAACAAUAUCUAAAUUUUCUUGCGAUUCAACUACUCUCACCAUUUGAUCAAGUUUCCAAAGAUAAAUGUCAAGUUCGGAGAAUAGAUGUGAAGUUUCUAAAGAUAAACACUAAGAUCAAAGAAAAAUGGAAUAUUUUCGCGAAGCGAUAAACUCGACUGAGGGCAGAAAAGGAAAGAGCAAACCUUCACUAGGAGGAGUAUAUAAAGACGUCGAGGUUGAAGAUGCAGAAUGAGACUUUUUACACAUUCAGAGCAAACUUAGCAUUAAGAGCAAUAGGCAACUUUCCAUUUUUGGUUUCGAGCUGCGACUCAACUAGGUUUUCGUAGUCUUAGGUUGUUAGAAGUAGGGAACUCGCCGGCAGCUCUCGCAGCCAAGGCUAUGACCUUGUUGUAACGCUCAUACGCAGAUUCAGAAUAAGACAUCCUUUGCUUUCUUUUUUCGAUUCUCAUAUUUUAUUCUGUCUGUUUAUUUUGUGUUCUGAUUGCUUGGCGUGUGGUUUAGCAGAUAUCCGGGAUCUCUGGGAAAUUUAGGAUUUUCUAUCUUUCCUAAUUCAAUGAAAAUCGACAGUGCGAAUUUCGGUUCCCAGAAAUACCAGGUUUUAAUACAUACAAAGAAAUCAUUCAGAUAAACACUAGUAAAAAUGUUAUAAUAGAAGAUAAUACUGAAAGUAAUACCGUAUUUUAUAUGAUGCUCACUACCACAAUAAGAAAUUACUUCACUGAUAAUAUAUAUAUAUAUAUAAUGUAUUUGCAGCUUAUCAAAAUAAAUACGCAGUAGAUAGUGAAUAUGAUCUUGACCAUGAUAAUUAUAUCAAUGCUGAUGAUUAUAAAAUUGGUCAGUCAUCUCGGCAUGUUGUGAAUAAUGUCAAUUUACGUAAUAUUUUUUGUACCAAUCGGAACAUCUAAUUUUCGUGAACAUAAGUCAUAAAAUGGGAAAAAUAUAUGUUCAGUACAUAUGUAAACAGAAACUUAGUAUAUUAUUCUAGGGUUGACGAGCUAUUUCUCCAUAAGAAGUAUCGCAUAGCACUAUAUGUCUCACAAACUAUAAUCCCGUGCUAUUUCCCCUGAAAUAAAAGUUCGAAUCCUAUUUGCCCACAUAUGUUGGUUUAUACAAAACCAAAUAAGAAUCUUCAAUACCGGAGAGUAACCCGAAAUCACGACCAUAACUAAACCAAACAAAAAUCCGACCACAAUUUUACCCGACCAAAAGUAACACCAGAGAAAAAAAAUUUGAUUCGACGCUUACAUAUUCAUAAACCCAGAACACAAAAAUCUCCAAUUUUCUGAAAAUAAAAAUAAGAACACUAAAUCCUCUUUCUGGGUGUUUGAAGAAUCAUAACGUCAGUGUGCGAUUCCUAUCAAGAAUCUACUCGGAUUUGGGAUUGAACUAAGAACAAUCUACUCUUCUUUCUGUUAAAACUCUAGUCUAAGCUUCUCAAACUCUCUCCUACGAAGAAGAAGGAGAUACAAUAUGUAAAUACUAAUGGAGAACUCUCUUUGAUUGGCUGAGAGACUAAUGAUCACACGUGCCUCUCACAUGUCUUGUAUAUCACCUCGAGUCUAACCCUCUAAACCAUUUAGAGUCUUCAUCACACAGUAGUUGAGAAUAAGAUGACAUAAACCUUCAAAUCUCCACCUUGUCACUGAUCGUCUCAUGCUCUUAUCUAGUCUUGAAUUUCCCCUCCAGUACAUGAGAAAACCUGCUCAUCUUCUGACAUCCUUGCAGUUCCCUGCAUCUACUUGCAGUCUUGAGAUUCCACCUUCUCAGCUUCAUAUCUCCAUGGAUAAAACUCAUCCAACUUCUUAUCUUCUGAGAAAACUUGCCCAUUUGAGCUUCCCUGCUUAACUUCCAAUGCUUCUUUGUAACUUGAAAACGUCCUUGCCGCUUCUUUUAAACCACAGCUCUAACACAAAUUUUGCCUUCAAAUACUUAAACAACCACCAACAAACCAGACUUGAACGAACUCAAUAAACUCUAGUCGUGAUAUGUAUCACACCACCAUUCCCGACUUGUAACGUAUGAGUCAAAUCUUUUGUAACGUAUGAUGCGGAAGAAGUACGGCUUCAUCUCUCUGACUGUAAUCCUCAUCAUUCAAACAAUUGAAUGUUAUUACACGUAAGCUCGUUAUCUUGUUCUCGUACUGUAGCAAAAGUUUUUAUGAUGUUUGUAAUAUUUUUUUAAAAAAUUAAUUAAACUGCAAAUAUUUUAGUUCUGAUUAAUAAUUUAAACUUGAAAAUAGACAAAGAAAACAUAAACAUAAAAACCGACAAAAGAUUCAAAGAUUCAUAACUUAGCACAUAAAAAAAGUAAAUACCAUAACCAGAGAACACAAAAGCCGACAAAAGAUAACAUAAACAAGUCGAAAUAACAUAAAUCCACAAAAGUUGAGACAAACGUUCCUAGAUAUAACACCAUAGAUAAUAUAAAACAAAGACCAACCAUCAACCACCUUCAGAACCAGCUUGAGAAGCACCUUGAGAAGCACUUUGGAGAAACACCUUGAGAAGCACCUUGCGAAGCAGCUUGAGAAGCACCUAGAGUCGGAACCUGCUUUUUCAUAUGAAACCUUGAGUUAUGAUCAGCUUCACCACAGAUUCCACAAUGAUAAUCCGCUUCUUAUGCUUUGGUUGCUUCUUGGUUGGAGACUCGUUAACACCCUUCUUCCUUUUUUUAUCAGCCUUAGUUGUUUUUUUUCCCUGGUUGGUCUGGAUCAGGCGGAAUAUGAACAUCAGGAGCUCCUGUUGCAGGCCAAAAUGGAGCACCUCUCACAGGGACAAGUCCUUCUUCAUAGUUCUUUCUCCACAUAGCUAUCCGGAACCACUGACAUACAAACUCUUCAGGCGCAAGCUUCUUCUUCAACAUCACAGCAUAUGCAUGCUCACACAGGAUGCCGCAGAUCUCAAACUUCAUACAAGUACAAGUUCUUCUCUCCAAGCUUACACGGUAUGUACAGCUACCCAACUUUACCUCAUACAUGCCAUUAGUGCUUCUUGUCACUGUACACUUAUCAUCUUUCUUUUUCUCGGGUUCAGGAAAUUCUGUCACAUAAGGUGUACAAAUACCUGAAAAAAAUAUAAUCAAAACACAAGUAGUAGCUUAAAAACCAGACCAAAACCCCAAAAAAAAAUCAGAAGCUUAAAAAGUAGGCCAAAACCAAAAAAAAAAGAAAACAUAAGCUUAAAAUCAGAAGCUUACCUUUGUGACCACGAGAUGUUGCAGAUCUCUUUGCAAUCCGCACCAUAGCUAGUCUUCUUAUCGUCUCUAGCAUAGAUACAAAUGGUUUCUCCCUUGCCUUCGUUAUAGUACUGUUAAAAGACUCAGUUGAGUUGUUAUCCACAUCUUCACAGUAAGGCUCCAUCUUGUAGAAAGCUCUACACCACGACUUUGGAUUUGUCUUCACAACAUCCUCAUAGACUCCGAUAUCAUAACACCGAAUCCUAUCCAACCUUUGUUGAUAUUCAUCUUCAUUGUAACUCCACGCUAAACUCCAUAUAAAUGGCUUCAUGUCCUUUUUACUCCCAUGGUUUUUCUUCAAAUUCCCAUAUAUGUGCCUAACACACAUCCUAUGCUCUAUCUUGGGAUGCUCUUGUUGGACAGCACUAAUCAAUCCCUACAAAAAACAUUAAUCAAUCGUCAGACAUACAUAUCAUAACCAUGUUUAAAGCGACCAUGUUUUACCUUUUGACGAUCGGAUACAAGAAUGAAACCAUCACCAUCCUCCAGUUCCAAGUUCUUCUUCACCAUCCUUACAAACCAUAGCCAAUUAUCUGUAUUUUCAACUUGAACAACACCCCAAGCCACUGGAUAAAUUGCAUUGUCGGCAUCUCUUCCUAAUGCAACCAAUUGCUGUCCUUUGAUCUUGUGCUUAACAAAGUACCCAUCAACUCCAAUCAGCGGUCUACAAGACUCUUUCCAUGUUCUUCUUACAUUUUCAAAACAAAUGUACAUCCUAUUAAAUUCUUCUUCUCCUUUCUUAUUCUUCAGAGUAUCAAUCUCCACAGUUGAUUCUUUGUUUGAUUCAAUCAACUCGGCUGCGUAAUCUCGAAGACGAGAAAACUGAUGAUCAUACUCACAUUCAGUCCAUCUCACUGCCUUAUUCCUAGCUGCUUGACAUUGAGGCCUCGAGACAGUGAUUCCCCAUUUCUCCUGAAUUAUUUCUUCAAUUUUCAUGGGGAUAAAAUAAUCAGGCUCUUCUCUGAUUUUAUUAACAAACAACCUAGCGAUUUGUGGGACCUUAAGCAUAGAACACUCUCCAUUAGGCACACAUGAAUGCUUAUCAACAAACACCCUCACUUUCCACACAUUAUCACUAGGAAGAACAGACGCAUAGAUUUUCCAUUCGCAGCCUUCACUCUCAUUGCCACCAGCACACUUAAAACCAAUUUUAUCCUUGUCAUACCUGUAUUGCUUGAUAUUUUCGCCUGUCCUGAGUGCAUAGUCGAGAAAACACUCCUUAAAAGCCACUCCAUUGAAGAAAGUCUGCUUCUUGUACAACAUUCCAUCACCUCGUUUGAUAGGGCGCAUAAUCUCAGCACUUGGCUUCUUUUUCAAGCCUUUCUCUUCCUCGUGAUCACUGUCUGGACAUUGAUCAUGGCAUAUUGAAGGCUCGUCAGCGAAGUCUCUAAUCAAAUCUUCGAUUUCGUUUUCAUCUCUAUCUGCAGCUUCUUCAUCGAAAUCGUCAUCCUCAUGGGGAGUAAGGAGUAACGCCAUUGACAAGCUUCGAUCUUAUCUCAGCUACUUCAAUCUCUCAUUUUUCCACCAACUUCGAUUUCGUUUUUGAUUCUCUUUUUCUUUUUGUCGUCGUCUUUGUUUUUCUGUAAGUGAUACUUAUGAUUUUGGGGAUUUCUAACCCUAAUUUUGAUUUGGUGUUACUUUUCGGGUCUGGGUAAUGGGUUAAUGGAUUUUCUGGUUUUGGUUUACUAUUGUUUGGUUUAAGUGAUAAAACAGACCCUAUUCGAGUCAUUAAUUGGUUCAAAGCUGGAUUACCUUUCUCUCUGGUUAAGUUUAAGAAGCAUUUAACAGCACAAAUUAAUUUUAUGGAAUUUUAGCUCUUGAACUUUUAUUUCGGGGGGAUAUAGCACGGUUUCAUAGUUUUGUGGAGAAAUAGGAUUUAAACUUUUAUUUCGGGGGGAAAUAGCACGGGGUUAUAGUUUGGGAGACAUAUAGUGCUAUGCGAUACUUCUCGUGGGAAAAUAGCUCGUCAACGCAUUAUUCUAUUAUAUGCUGUCAAAUGAUCUUCUCUUAUAUUAAUGUUUUCUUAUAAAUGUUAUAGGUUAUCCAGAUGAUGGUUAUCCUACAUAUGAUUGUGCUUUUUGUAAAUAUCAUAUGUGGUACGUAAAAAAAUAGGAAACCAAAAAAGUAAUCUAAACCGACCUUUACUAUGUGUUGUAACAGGGGAAAGAUAGUUAUCUCAGCUUCUCGAAAUUCUCCUCUAGAGUUGGUACAUUAUUUAUGCAAAAUGGAUGCUUUGACUAAACACUUCCUUUAGUUUAUUCGAGCAUAUAACAUGAUGUUUUCAUUCACAUCACUGUGAGGAAGAAUUGACCAUACGAUUAACAAUGGUCGAUGUCCAUAUGUUUUUGAAAUAAAUGGUGAAAAUUAUCACCUAAUGGGUGACAUGUUACAGAAAAUGGUGAAAUCCAAGUUUCUGCAACUCUACAGAUAUGAUAAUAUUAACGAAAUUUCAAACAGUAUCAAUGCUUAAGGAUAAUCUGUUCAGUGUGGAAUUCAUGAUUAGAAAUAUAUUUUAAUCGUAAUAUAUGUUACAAUAUUAAACUUACCAUUAUUACUUUUCAGGGUACUGGAGCCGACGUAUCAAGUCUGAAAGACGAUAUUGUUUGAAUUUUGAAGAAAAUUUUGGACGAUCAGAAUCCCAUGUUAAGGCUUUCAGACAAUCUAGCGACAGAUUUGAUGUCGAGUGAGGUGAAAAUUUUAAGCUAAGGUUGAUUGAUUGAAGAGCUCCAUAAGGAAGAACACACAAUCUGCCUACAACUGAUCAGGUUGCAGCACUUACUCCUGGAGACUUUAUCAUGAAUAUAGAGAAACGAGAUAUUAUUCUCGAGACAAACACAUGUAGAUAUCACAGAAUUAGCGAAAAACUAACAUAUUUUCCUCUUCAAUGUCCUAUAUUGUUCCCUUAUGGUGGAGAUAGUUUUCCUCUUGACAUACCGAUUGGUCUUCAAAACACAACCGGUAGAAAACGUAGUCUAUCACAAUGCAAGAGUUUUCUUUACGUAUAAAAUUCUGGAGAGGUAUUGUGAAUCGCGAACUAUAAUCAGAUCAAGAAGGUUAUUUUAAAAGUUUCUUAUCGUUGGAUACACAAUGCUUGAAUCAAAUCGUUUACGUUACGUUUGGUUUAAUCAGAAAAAGCUUCCUUGCAAUAACUAUGAAAAUAUUAAAAAGCCUUUGCGGCUGAUGUCGAAACUCUAAAUGAUCAAGGUACGAGAAUUUAUAUUCCAUCAAGUUUUACCGGAUGACCACAUUAUAUGCAUACUCACUACCUUGAUGCAAUGGACAUAUGUAGGUAUACUGGAUUUCUAACAUAUUUAUUACAUUUAAAUUCAACCGAAAGUGGCCUGAGAUUACCACAUAUCUUCAUCAUUUAAGGUUGAUUAUCGAAGAUAGACCAGACAUUAUUUUUACAAUUUUCAAGAUUAAAUUUGAUGAUCUCAUGGCUUAGUUGACCAUGAAAAGAGGCGGAAUUCUUAGAAAGGUAUUAACUAUAGUCAACCCUAAUAAGACAUAUUGUUAAUUAUAUUAUAUUAACAACAUAUAAUUUGUUUAUUUUAUAUAUGCAACAAUGUAUACCAUUGAAUUCCAGAAAAAUGUUUACCACAUGCAAAUAUUUUGUUUUUCCUUGAAAAAACCAACAAGCUUGCUAAGGGCGAUGAUGAUAUUGAUUGUUUUACAUCUGCGGAAAUUCCUGACAAAACAAAGGAACCAGAGUUGUAUAAGGUAGUAAGGGAUAGUAUCCUGCAUGGACCAUGUAGAUGAUAUCACUCAAAUUAUCCUAAAUAGUGAAUUUACUCUCUCAAAUAAGAGGUUCAAUUGCAGUACUUAGGUAUUAAAUCCACAAGGAGCUAAGGAACCUAAUAAAGCUAAUGGGAUUUGUUAAGUUGGAUAGUUUAAUGAUUAAAUUGUAAAUUUUCAGUUUUGUUGAGAAAGUAAUUGCUCGAUUGAUUGGUUGAGGUUUUGGUGCUUAAAAGGAAAUAGCUAGACUUAGGGUUUUUAUUGAAAAUUUGAAAUUAUAAUCUUACAGAUGCCUAAUGAGUUGCAUGCAUGAUAAUGUAGAGCUCAACUACGAAACAACAAGUUCUGGACUUGUCUAUUAACUAGAUCUAAUGACCCAAACAAAUGUGUUCAAUCAAUAGCAAGUGUCGAUCGAUUAUCCUAUAGGGAUAUCGAUCGAUAUACCUUUCAUUCCGUCGAUCGAUGGAUAAUCGAUCGACGCACCUCUAGUUAAGCUUUAUGCGCGGGUUGAAUGAUGCUCACUAGAUCAGCUAUCGCCUUACUCUAGCAAGAAACUUAGCUCAAUUAGAAUGGUUUCAGGAUGAGAAUGAAGCUAUCCCUUUUAUCUAACAAUCCUAGGGCAAGUUCUAGGUAGCUAAUCUAGCAUCAUGUAUUAAUGACAAUCCUAAUGAUUAUUAUCACAACUCAGCAAUCUAUAGUUGGAGCUAAUCCCUCAUAACCUAUUUAAACCUAAAAUCUAACAAUGAAACUACUCAAAUAUGACCAAGCAAUUCAUAACAUCAAUUAUGUAAGAAAACAUCAUUAGAAUAGUAAAUAUACAUCAAUGGAGUUCCAAUCACAAAUAUAACUUUGGAUCUUUUCUCAAAUCUAUCAAAAUCCUAAAAACCUUUUGCUGAUAAUAGUAAAACAAGAAACACAAGAAAGCACCAUUUGCCUCUAACAUGGUGGCAAAGCUUAUAUAACUAGGUUAAAACUCGUUAGGGGUAAUCUUGUAAAUUGGUGAAGACUUGGGCUUCAAUUCGGCUGCGACCAAACGGGCUUUCUGUGUGUUUCGCUGUCGAUCGAUAUUCUGAUGUGAACAUCGAUUGAUAUUAGUUCGUCAAUAUUGACCGAUGCUCGAGUUCGAUGGUCAUCUCGGGUGCUUGCUCCAAGUAUCUCCAAAAUGCUCCAAAAUCAUAACUUAUCUCUAAAUCACUCCUGAUCUUAUAAAUACAAUAAAUAGACUCUAUAAUAUAAUAAUUACUAGUAAAAACACCUAUAAACCAUGGGUGAAAGUGAGUCAAAUCCAUGGUCUAUCAACUCCCCUAGACUUAUCCUUUUGCUUGUCCUCAAGCAAAACAAACAGACAGUCUCUCUGAAAGAAGUUUGUAAACAGCAGAGACUCACACAAUUUUAAACUUAGAGUCCUCACCUCUACAAUAUUGCAAUCAAUAUCUAAGAAGUCCUAAUCACAAAAGAACAUUAUACCAUAUUCUAGCUUAGCAACCAAAUUCACCUAGAUAAUAACUUAGAAAAUAUUGUCUGACAUUCCCCUCUACCAACCUCAUUUCUUAGCAUACAUAAAAGUGCAUGCUUUACAUUGAGGGUAUCAAUCACAUGAUGCAAGGAUUUUCAAACAAGUAUAUGGACCUGCAGCUAAACAUUAGUUCAUAUCCUCUCUCUCUACUAAUUUUCUCUCUUAGUCAAAGUCUGCUUAUAUUUGCAAGAUCAUUGACCAAGAUUAGACAUGCUUCCAUGAAUCAAGCCUUAAUGGUGGUUGCCACCAAGUCCUGUUCACGUUUUUUUGACCUAUAUCCUAAAAAUUAUUUGUGAAUCAAGCCUUAAUUGUUGUAGCCACCAAGUCCUAUUCUAAUCCUUUACCUAUAGAAUUCUUAUGAAGCAAGCUUUAAUUGUUGUAGCUACCAAGUCCUAUUCGAAUCUCUUCCUACUAAAUCUCUAAUAGAUAUGUAUAUAUAUAUAUAUAUAUAUUUAAAAUAUUUCGAAAAUAGAGAGAAAGAGGGUGAUAAAUCUAUCUACACAAUGUUUUACCUUCCCGACUUGUUUGAAGAAUCCGAUCCCAUGUAUACCAAGUCCCAAGAUAAGCAGUUGUGUCAAGUUUUAGUGUUGGAGGUCAGCUUUGGUUCCAUGAAACAAUCUCAGCAAGUGUAACAUAGUUGACACGUUGAUCCACUUUAGUACCUUAAGUCUAGAAUGAUGCUAAAGAGUGGUUAGAUAACAAGCAAAAAUCUAAUAUGUUCAUUAUCCCCUUCUUGACUCAAUAAAAACUUUAUGUUUGAAAAUAUUUUUAAAAUUCAUGAAUAAACUAAUAUCAGUAAACCUCCCCCCAGACUUAAACUACACUGUCUCCAGUGUAAACUUAGUCAGAGUUAUGGUGUUAAUUAAAUCAUAAGUACUUAAUGUAACAAGUUAGAACAAUAUACCAUAUCAGAAUGAUUGUCGACCGAUGUAAGGAUGUUUAUAUCGGUCGCGACAGGUUGAGCUCUGUCGAUCGAUGUCGACAGUGUCUCGUCGGUCGAUACUCACGGCAAUCAUCUACUCGUAUCUCUCUCUUAUAUAUAUAUAUAUAUAUAUAUAUAUAAUGACCUGCAAUAAUUAAAAACCAACAUAAAUAGUAGAUUAAUAAAAACCAAAUAAAUAUUACCUAAUAGUAGAUUGCCUUCCACUCAGUGCUUUGUUAUAGUCAGUUAGCUUGACUUUGGAAGUGAUUUGGGCUAGUGAUGUUGAAAGAUGGCACUUGUUGCGAAACAAGUCUCCAUCUCUUCUUUGCGCUUGUUGAACCAUGUACCAGUGAAGUCUCGCAUUGCUUCAUCUCCUCUGCGCCAUUUGUCCUUCAUUAUUGUAGUUGCAUAUUCUAUAUUCUGCAUUCUAUCUCCAAGACUCUCAAGAGUGAACUGAUAUCUCAUAAGUCUGGCGUAUGUGUCAGCUGAGAUCUCCUCUCCACGGUUGUGUGUAUCAGACAUAUCUGAUGUCACCUUUUGUACUAGCCUCGCUCGGUUUGAAGCUUCGUCGACCGAUGUCUGUCCUUGAAUGUCGGUCGAUUUAUUGUUGCGUUUGUCGAUCGAUGCUGAUGCUUCUAGUCGACGGGCAAUGUAACUCCGAAUCUCCACUAAUUCCCCUUAAAUAUCUUCUAUAUUGGAAGUCAAAGCACUAAUGCUAAGAUUCAUUUGGAAAUAGAUGUCAUCACAUCUCCUAUCAAGCCUCUCUUCUGUAGUUUCCAGAGCUCUGUAGAUCCCUUCUACCAACAGAUCUAUCUCCCCCGCGUGUGAAAAUCUGGUUUAGACGUCAUCGUAUGUGAGUGUGGUGGAUUGUUGUCGACCGAUGCUUGUAAUCGGUUAUCGAUCGAUGCUUGGAAGUGGCUGUCGAUCGAUGCUUGUCGACGUCUGUCGAUCGAUGUAGGGCGAGAAACGUCCAUCGCAUGUUGAAUUCUGGCUAUGUCUUGCCUCAUCUCUUCCAUGCAUGUAGUUAGGCAACUGAUACUAUCAUUCAAUGGAUAGUUGACUCCAUCAAGCUUCAUCUUGAAGUCUUCUUUGUUCUUCUCUUGUUUUCCGCAGAUUCCAUAGAACAUCUCAUUGAUCUCGUCCUUGGUGUAGAUCCCUGGUACUAGCUUGGUUUGAGUGAAUGAGCUAGCAUGUUCUGGAAGACAGAUGUAGUUGGGGUCAUAUCUCGAAGCUCUUUCCAAAAGUAUUAUGAUAUCUUUGUUGUGAACGCGAAUGGUGUGUCCAUCUACGUCUCUGGCGUAUCCCUGCUCAUCUCUGUAGAUUACAUACACAUCCUUCUCUUCCCAGUAGAAUUUCCUAGAAACGAAAAGAUCAAAGGCUCUUCUGCCAAAUUCAGGACGUCUGUCGACCGAUGUUGGAAUGUCAACGUCGAUCAAUGGUCGAGUAGGGUGUCGAGACCUCUGUUCGAAGCGUUUAUCUAUGCCACCAGCUGUGUCAUAGAACUUCUUUGUAACCUUCUGCUAGUGUUCUGGAAUGGUGUGUUGUUGCAUGAAGAGGUUGUAUGCCCCAUUAGCUGUCUGAAGGAUGUCUGCAAUAUCCUCUCGAGAUACGUGCAGUGUACGUAUCUAUUGCUUUUGCAUAGCCAUCUGGGUUUCUGAAAAUACCAAUUUCGUCUGGAGUUAGAUACUGGUUAUCAGAUAUUUUUUUUCUUACAAUGGUUUUUGGUUUUGGACGGCUGUCGAUCGAUGUUGUAUGGUUGAUGUCGAUCGAUGUCGAAGGAUUGAUGUCGAUCGAUGGAGGUAUCGUUAUGUCGAUCGGAUGGCUGAAAUGUGUUCUUUUCCAAGAAGCUUCUGCUCGUUUCUAAUCUGUUUCAUUGCGUCUUUGCAUGUUGAGAAGUUUCUCAUAUGUGAAAUCCUCAUCAAGUUCAUCAACUCCUUGAUCAUGGUAUGAUGUCUCUACUGCCUAACUUCCAAUUGAGUAAUCUCCGUCUCGGGUAGCGUGACGGUUGUGUCAAUCGAUGGGUAGUAGGCGAUGUCGGUCGAUGCUCAAAGGUGGUUUGGUUGAGGAAGUUGAGUGUCGAUCGAUGUUGAACCAUUCCUGUCGAUCGAUGGCGACUUCUUUUUCCAAGAGGAAUGAUGGAGAAGUCUAUCUUCCUCGUCAAGAGUCGCUCUUUGCUCUAUAGCUCGCUCUUCCUCAUAAUCUUCAUCAUACUCCUCCGUAUGCAUGUUGUGUGCUGCCAUAGUGGGAUUAUAGUAAUCGUUUUCCCAUUCUCCUUGUACUGUCGACCGAUUCUUAUCUUGCUGUGUUGGUCGAUUUUUUCUGGGCACUGUCUGUAAUAACCCUCACGAGCCAGUUAAUUUUUGGUCGAGAAAAACUCCGCUCGACCAGUUUGGAGUUGGUCGAUCAGAUUUAAAAAUAAAGUCGACCAGGUGAAUUAAUACCUCGACGGGACUGUCUUGUGGUCGAAAGGCCUCUUAUUGAUAGUUCUGGUAGAGUGUUAAUAAUGUUGGUCGAAUUUUGUUUAAGCUAGGCAAGCUUAGUUGAAAGCAAGACGAGAUUCGAAGGAUGAGAAAUUUUAGUCGAAAACUGUCCGAAAUUGUCGUUAAGUUUCUUAACUAAAUUCCGACCAGUCUAAUACCUUCACCAGCUAUUCUGCUUGCUUUCUCAGUAGAUCAAUCACAUGAGCUGCACCUACCUGCUUGCUUGCUUCACUAAAGUCACAUGAAAGUCACAAGCUGGUUGCUUGUUUAAUAAAAACAAAAUAAUCUUUCUUCAAAGGAGGGAAAGGACAGCAACUUGCUUUGGUUUAAGUAAACCCUCAGCUGAAGCAACCCCUCAUGCUACAAAAUACCUUCUUCUCUCUUCUGGACGUCCUGUUGCACAAGAAAAACCAGAGAAAAUUUCAAAGAGAAAGAAAAGAGAAAAAUCUGUGAGAAAAACUCAUGCAAAAAUUCAAAAAAAAUCAGAGAAGAGAAGUGAGCAUGGACGACCCUUUCUCACCCUUCUGUGAAUUUAAUCAGUGAGUUUUGGAGUGUUUAAGAGCUGAAGAUUUGGCGUCCUGAAGUAGAGAAUCACCCAUGUUCUUCAGCCUUUGAUUUUGAUCAGUAAGAUGGUUGUGGACCAGUUUCUUUGAGAAGUUUUGUUGGUUUGCCUACACUAGAGAUAAAUUCUGAAUAAAUCCAACCAUGGAUUCUUGUGGUGUUGAUCAGGUUAAUUCGUGGUUAGCUUGAAGAGAGACAACCAGUCAAGUUUAAUUAGUUGAGUAAAACCAGUAAGCUUCAGCUUCUUGAUCCAGCCAUGUUUUGAUGAGAACCAAUUGCUGUAUGUUGGUUAACCUCAUCUUACUCAGCCUGUUGUUACGAGUCCUCAACCCGUUGUACCAGUUAACCCACCGUUACCCUUACCUCUUGCUAAGCGUCAAGCCACUGCUGGUAGGGAUUAUGCUUUAGAGUUACCAGGACCAUCCGGACCACCUCAGGGUCCGAUUUCAUGUUUGUUUUCCUAACCAAUUGAGUGUUGCAUAAUUUUUAAAUGAUUGGUAAAUUGGUGAUAUAAAAAAUAUAGUAUAAAAGUUGUUGAGUAAGUAAUUGAUGGAAAGUCAAUUAUUGUCAGCGACUUUGCUUGUGGGUGGAAUAUCCGCCCACAUCCUUUUCGAUUCGGGAGGAACACAUAGUUUUGUAACUCCCGAAGUAGCAUCAUGAUUCGAUGGAGAAUUCACUAAGGUGAAUUUAUCCAUUCCCAUUCUAACUCCUGGAGAUCAAGUUCUUGAAACUGAACGUUGUAUUCUAAGAGUUCCAAUCAUUAUCCAAGAUAUGGUUUUUCCAGCUCAUUUGUUAGUUCUUCCAUUAGAGAGGUACGAGGUAAUCUUAGGGAUGGAUUGGCUGUCAAGUUACCGAGCUCACCUUGAUUGUGGUCGAAGGAAGAUUGUUUUCGAGAGAUAUACCCAACCCCCUUUAGCUUACCAUGGCAUAGUACCAAGUGCUGGAGCGUCAUUAGUGUCAGCACUGAGAAUUGAAAACCUUUUGGAGAAGGGUGAAGAAGUAUACUUAGUGAACUUAGUUGCUGGACCAGUAGAAGACGAGAAAGAGCAAAACAUGGAAGAAAUACCAGUAGUCAGAGAAUAUGAGGACGUGUUUAAAGCAUUAGAGGGAUUGCCGCCGUCUAGUAUAACCUUAGGACCCGGAUCCGCUAUAAUGGCAAAGGCACCAUACCGAAUUGUCGCUAGAGUUGGAGAAGUAGCCUAUAGACUAGAACUUCCACCCGAUAUGCCUAUGCAUCCAGUAAUUCAUGUAUCGAUGCUGCGUAAGCAUAUACCAGAUCCGAAUAUGGUCGAGCCGCAGCGACCAGAGAACUUGCAACCUAACCUCACCUAUCCUGAAGGUCCUUUGCGAAUAGGCGAACAUCGUUUCAAUAAAUAGAAGAAUAGGGAAAUUUUGCAAGUUCAAGUAUUUUAGGAAAAGCGACAGAGAGUUGUCAUAACAUGGGAGGAUGAAGAUAAGUUCCGAGUUGAUUACCCAGAACUCUUCUCAGAUACCCAGUCGUCCAGUAAAGGGUGUACACUUGAAUUUUGAGAAUUCGGGGACGAAUUCUUUUAAGGGGGGAAGAGUGUAAUAACCCUCACGAGCCUAUAAAUUUUUAGUCGAGAAAAAUCCCGCUCGACCAUAUUUUGUUGGUUCGACCAUGAUUAAUAAAAAUAAAAAUCGACCCGGUAGAUUAAUUUCUCCACGGGACUGUCUUGUGGUCGAAAGACCUUCACUUGAUAGUUUGGCCGAGUCUUAAAUAUUUUGGUCGAAUUUUUAUUAAGCGGGACGAGACUUUCGGAGAACAAGACAAGAGACAAAGACAAGGAAUAUUUGGUUGAAAAUUAUUUAAAAUUAUCAACCAACUGCCUAAUUAAUUUUGGACCAGACUCAUGUCUUCCACCAGCCUGCUUGUUCAGUAUUCAGUCACUUGACCUGCACCUGCCUGCUUACUUAGCUUCUUCAGUAAAUGGCACAUGACAAUCACAAGCUGCAUGUGUGCUUGCUUCCUCCUUUAAUUAUUUAUGAUUGGCUGGAAACUGCUUCAUGGGAGGGAAAGGACAGUAUGGUGUUGAUGAUGAAACAGGUUGCCAGCUGUCUGCUCUCAGCCAAGCUCGGUUAUGAGCUAAACCCUCAUAUGAAGUAACCUCAGGUUGUAUUAAACUCUUCUCCAGCUGCGUCCCACGUUUUUAAACCUACAGAAAAACCUAGAAAAUUUCAGAGAGAAAGAGAGAAAGAAAAACAGAAAAGUCAGUGAGAAAAAUCAGGAAAAUAAAUCAAGAAAAAAAUUGGUGGUGAUCAAAUCUUCAACCCUAGCUCAGUUUGGUUCUUGAGAAAGAUCAGACGGUGAGAUUUUUAAAUAAAACUCUAGACCUAGUUGAGUUCAAAUCAUGAUCAGACCUUGAUCUUUCUCUUUGAUCAGUCCAGCCACAAGCUUACCUUGGAGAAGAGGAUCAGCUGAGGCCAUCUAGUCCUUUGGUUUGUCUUGGUAAGCUUUGGUCCCCUAGCCUCUGUCAGUAUCUGAUCAGAACAGUUCAUGGCUACCUUAGAUCUUGGUCGGAUCAGUUGUAUAAGUUCUGAUACAGUUCUGCUCUUGUUUAGUUUCGGUUUGAGUUCAUUUCUUAAAACAGUUUGCUAAGCUGUUAUGGAUUGAUUGGCCUUAAACCAAACUGAACUCAGUCUGAUCUUGUCCUGAACUGUUGUUAACUGAAUAUAACUGAACUGAUCUGAUCUGGUAUGAGAGGAACCGAGCUUGAACUGAAUUGAUUUAAGUAGUUUAGUCUGAACCGAACUGUCAGAUUGUUGAUGUUCUGAACCAAACCUUGGUCUGUUUUGAUCAGUUAAGGUGUGGAGCUUUGCUAGUCCCAUCCUGUCCUUUCAGCCUUGUUCAAGAGGAACUCAAGUCUUGUCCAAGCCAGUUUCAAGACUGUUCUUUAGGUAAGUCUAGACAAAAGAUGAGAUAGAUUGUUGGGGUCAAAAUCGGUUGCAACGGAAUCAAUGUCUGAAAGUCCGUAAAAAUCAGCAUGAACGUUUUUACGAAAACUAAUCUUCGUAGAGAUAUCUUUACGAAGAGCCUUGCGGUAAAAUCUUGUUCAAAUCACAAUCGAACCACUAAAUACCGAUUGUCCGAAGGCAACAGACAUGUAUCCAAAUCGGCCGCGGGAAAGCUCGAGUAUGGAAAUCGGACCGCGGACAAGCCAAGCUCGAUCGAUACGCGGCGACCAAGCAUGCACACAGCUCAGUCGCUACGUAGCGACCGAGCGUCCGUCCGGCUCGGUCUCUAUGCAGCGACCGAUCUUGGUCGCUACGUAGCGACCGAGCGUCCGUCCUGCUCGGUCGCUACGCAGCGACCGAGCUCGAGCCAAGCUCGGUCGCUACGCAGCGACCGAGCGUCCGUCCCGCUCGGUCGCUACGCAGCGACGGAGCUCGAGCCAAGCUCGGUCACUACGUAGCGACCGAGCGUCCGUCCCGCUCGGUCGCUACAUAGCGACCGAGCUCGAGCCAAGCUCGGUCGCUAUGUAGCGACCGAGCGUCCGUUCCGCCCGGUCGCUACGUAGCGACCGAGCUCUUCCGAAACGUCGAUACGACACCAGUCCAUGCAUUCUCGUCUAUCAUUCGAUGCUAUCUCCCGAAGACCAUAGCAAACUCAGUUCAUGUUUUCCGCCAUUCUAAAUAAUCGAUCAAACUUUGCGGAUAAAACUGCGGAAAGUUCGUUCUUUAUCGAAAGAAGUCGCAGUAAACGCUUUGAGUCGGAAGACGGCCCAAAGGGACCUAAAACACGAUUUGAGGCCCAUCCUACGACUCCUUAACCAAAAGCCCGUAAACCGUAGCGCGGUUUACACUUGGCGCGCAAGGAAGGAUAAAUGUCAAGUUUCCGGGGAUAAAUACCAAAUUUUGAGAAUAAUUACGAAGAUCGGAAAAAAUGGAAUAUCUCCAUUUUAUGCUAUGACGGCUUAAGGGCAGAAGAGUAAAAGCGUAAACCGACCUUGGAGCUAGUAUAUAAGGAGUCCUAGGCGAGAGGCAUGAGGGAGGACUUUUUAGAUUCAGAAUUCUCUGCACUUAGAAACUUUAGGCUUUAUUCUCGACAAGUUCGGUUUCUAUGACUGGCACUCAAUUACUAGAUGAACUCGCCCAGGCAGUUCAAUCUCUUGUCCAGCUCUAUCAAUUGAACUACGUUCGGCUUGAUCCUCGAAAGGGGUACGUAGGCAGCCUUUAACAAGGUUCAGUCCGAAAUCAAUCAAAAACCUUUUCUGUAUCUUUUUCGUCUUUUGUUAUCGAGCUGCGACUCAACUAGGUUUGAGCUUUUAGGCCGCUAGAACUAGAUAACUCGCUGACAGCCUUUGCGGCCAAAGCUUUUAUGAUCUCUUGUCAUGAUCGCAACGAUCUUACGCAGACUCGAAAUAAGAUCUACUGUUUUCUCUAAACUCGUUUGUUAUCUUUUCACGAUUUCCGCAUAUAUUUGGUCACUUGUCGUUGGCUCUCGCAGAGAUCCGGGACCUCUGGGAAAUUAGGGUUUUCUUAGUUUCCUAAUUUAAACGUAAAUCGACAGUGCGAAUUUCGGUUCCCACAUAGAUUAUGAAUGAGUACAUGAUUGACUUUAAAUUGUAGUAUCUCAAUUAGAUAGUAAAGUCUUUGAAUCCUUUAAGAAGUGUAUGGUGUUUACUUAGUGUAAACACUUACACUUCAAGAUUAAUCAAAAGGUUAAAGUGAGGUUAAUCAUAAUCAUAGUACUUGUUCUCAAGUACUAAUCUUAAUUAUAAAAUAAUCAUAGUUUUGAUUAUGGAUUAAUCUUGGUUUAAUUAAGAAUUAAUCUUAGUUUAAUUGAGAAUUAAUCUGUGAUUAAUUAAGGAGUAAUCAUGAUUAAUUAAGUACUAAUCUCAGAUUAAUUGAGAAUUAAUCUGAGAUUAAUUAAGGAGUAAUCAUGAUUAAUUAAGUACUAAUCUUGAAUUAAUUAAAGAUUAAUAUGAGAUUAAUUAAGGAUUAAUAUAGGAUUAAUUAAGAGUUAAUUAUGAUUAAUAUAGGAUUAAUUAUGGAUUAAUUUUAGAAUAAUUAUGGAAGUAAAAUCAUGUGAAGUCUUGUUAUAUUCACUAUCCCUAAAGCCCCUGCAUUACCGUGACUUGGUCCUGCGAACGGAACAAGGUCAUGAAGACACGAUGAUGGGGUAGCUCCCUGGAGACUGUGUACUGCAUGACGAUGCAGUGUCGGAUUGUUCAUACCGGAUAUUCGACAAUGAUGGUGAUGCUAACUCACUAGUCUCGGUUAGCCUUAGUAGUUUCUCGGAUCUAGUAUAUAUAUUGUAUUAUAUGAGUAUGGUAACGGGCGGGUGUUGCGGAAGUGAUGUUUAAAAUAAGAAUUCACAAUGAUGAUCGAUAUUAAAGUAUAGUACUAGUACUUGCAUGAUCAUGUAUAUGCAUUUGAUAACUGUUUCGUUUAUUAUUGAUUGUGUUGUGAUUCUAGAUUCACUGAGUAAAUUAGUUGCUCAUGACUCAUUCGUGUGUGCAGGUAACCCUUAGGCGGGAGAAACUUUACUUUUUGGACGGAAGGAACGACCAACCAGCGGUAGUAUUUUGUUAUCCUUGCAACGUACCUUUUGAUGUAUAUUUACUUAAAACGUUGUUGGGCAAUAGGCCAUAGGAUAAAACUAUAACACUUUGUAAGAUGUUUAAAGUAAAUAAAUAAUGUAUAAAAGAUGUUUAUAAAUCACGAGUUCUCAUAUGAUAUUAGUCCUUGUCCGGGAUGAACUAACUAUCGAAUAUUGCUUUAUCGGGUUGAAAAGCCUAGAGUAAUAUUCGAUAGGAGCGUCUGUGUUCUUUGGUUGUUGGUCUAAGGCGAUCGGAUUUAUUUCGAGAACCUCAGGUCGACCAUCAGGGAACAUCGACCGUGUCAUAUCCGGUUAUCUAUGAUCGGGGGUGUUACAAUGGUGUGCAGUCCUUAGAAUCUCCUCUUGAAGUCCUUCUCCUUUCGGAACAGUUACUCGACCAUUGAGUAACAAAGUUCCAUCACUCGCAACUUGAUAUCCUCCGAAGUUUCCUUCAUUCAACUGCUCUCGUAUCUUCUUCACGUUCACAUCUCUCAUUUGAUAUUCUCGGAUACGAGAAAGUAAACCAGCUUGGCUUACUGCUUGUAGUCCUAGAGGUUCUCUUUCCUCUCCUUCUAAGGCAGCCAAACUAACCAUCUUGAAUUCUGCUUCUAGGCUCUGGAGUUCUUUUUCAAUAUCCACAUCAACUUUCGUUCUGCUCAAUGCAUCAUCAACAACGUUGGCUUUUCCUGGAUGGUAUAGGAUCUGCAUGUCGUAAUCAGCUAAGAACUCCAUCCAUCGUCUUUGCCUUAGGUUCAAAUCAGGUUGAGUGAAAAGAUACAUAAGGCUUUUAUGGUCAGUGAACACUUGGAUCUUCUCACCAUACAAGUACGAUCGCCAAAUCCGAAGGGCAAAUACUACUGCAGCCAUCUCUAGGUCAUGUGUCGGAUAAUUCACUUCAUGCUUUCUUAGUUGCCUAGAUGCAUAGGCGAUUACCUUAUCGUCUUGCAUCAGCACACAACCUAAACCAACAUGAGAUGCAUCCGUAUACACGGUGUAUGGUUGGUUAGGCUUAGGCAAUGCUAAGCUAGGUGCAGUCGUCAAAGCUUCUUUUAACUUUUCGAAUGCUUCGUCGGUUUCUAUACUCCAUUCAUAAGCAAUCCCUUUACCGGUAAGACGAGUCAAAGGCUUUGAUACGCUUGCAAAUCCUUGGAGAAAAUUUCUGUAAUAGCCGGCCAAUCCAAGAAAACUUCGAAUCUCGGUAAUAGAAGUCGGAUGGGGCCAUUCCUUAAUAGCAGCUAUCUUUUCUGGAUCGACGGCAACUCCUUCUUCUGACACUCGAUGUCCUAAGAAGCCAACUUCUCUUUUCCAGAAACGACAUUUACUAAGCUUAGCAAAUAGCUGUUGAUCUCGGAGAUGCUCCAAAACUAGUCGUAGAUGCCUUUCGUGUUCUUCUGCACUUUGGGAAUAUAUGAGGAUGUCGUCAAUGAAUAUGAUAACAAACUCAUCCAGGUAAUCCCGAAAUACUUCAUUCAUCAGUCGCAUAAAUGCAGCCGGGGCAUUGGUAAGACCAAAAGACAUUACUAUGAACUCAAAGUGUCCAUAGCGGGUUCUCAAGGCGGUCUUCAUGAUAUCGGUUUCGGAAAUUGGAAUCUGAUGAUAACCUGAAGCUAAAUCACUCUUCGAAAACCAGUUUGUGCCUUGUAACUGGUCUAAUAGCUCAUAAAUUCUUGGGAGUGGGUACUUGUCUUUUAUGGUUACGUUAUUGAUUCCACGAUAAUCGAUACAUAACCACAUGCUUCCGUCUUUCUUCUUUACAAAUAGCACGGGUGCUCCCCAUGGUGAUGAACUAGCACGUAUGAAAACUUUGUCUAACAAAUCAGCUAACUGCUGCUUCAACUCAAUGAGUUCUGCUGGUGCCAUUCGGUAUGGUGCCUUUGCUAUUGCAGCUGAUCCGGGUUCUAAGGUUAUACUAAAGGGGUUACUCCUAGAUGGCGGCAAUCCCUCUAAUGCCUUAAACACGUCCUCAUAUUCUCUGACUACUGGUAUUUCUUCCAUGUUCUGCUCUUUCUCGUCUUCUACUGGUCCAGCAACUAAGGUCACUAAGUAUACUUCUUCACCCUUCUCCAAAAGGCUUUCAAUUCUCAAUGCUGACACUAAUGACGCUCCAACACUUGGUACUAUGCCAUGGUAAGCUAAAGGGGAUUGGGUAUUUCUCUCGAAAACAAUCUUCCCUCGACCACAAUCAAGGUAAGCUCGGUAACUUGACAGCCAAUCCAUCCCUAAGAUUACCUCGUACCUCUCUAAGGGGAGAACUAACAAAUCAGCCGGAAAAAUCAUAUCUUGGAUAAUGAUUGGAACUCUUAGAAUACAGCUUUCAGUUUCAAGAACUUGAUCUCCGGGAGUUAGAACGGGAAUGGGUAAAUUCACAUUUAGUGAAUUCUCCAUCAAAUCGGGAUGCUACUUCGGGAGCUACAAAACUAUGUGUUGCUCCUGAAUCGAAAAGGAUGUGGGCGGAGGAUAUUCCACUCACAAGAAAAGUCCCUGUCAAUAAUUGACUUUACCGUCAAUCACUUACUCAACCACUUUUAUAAUUUUUUUAUAUCACUAAUUCACAAAUCAUUAAAAAACAAAUUAUGCGACAUUCAAUCGGAUAAGAAAACAAACCUGAAAUUGGACCCUGAGGUGGUCCGGAUGGUCCUGGUAACUCUAAAGCGUAAGCCCUACCAGCAGUGGCUUGACGCUUAGCAUGAGGUAAGGGUAAAGGUGGGUUAACUGGUCUGGCAGGUCGAGCACUCGAAACAACAGGCUGAGCAAGAUGAGUGCGGGGACAUUAUGUCGCGUAAUGUCCUCGCUCUCCACACGUGAAACAAGUGAUGUGAGAUGGUACAGCCGGUUGGAACUGUCCCACGGUCGGACAAUCUCUCUUAACAUGGCCCAGCUGGCCACAAGUGAAACAAGUUGGGGUUCUAAGUCUAGGACCUCCAGAUCGAUCUCCCCGAAAAGCUCUACCUCCCUGUCCUCGCUGCACAGCAGAAUGCGGCUGAGGCUGGAACGGAACAGAUGGACGUCUAGGUUGUGUGGCAUUGCUAGAAGAAGCUCUCUCAGCAGCAAUGGCCUCCUCAACGUUCACAGCACUCUCAACAAGAUCAGCAAGCUGAUAAAAAUCUACUGACUCAAGUCUGCUCCUGAUAUAUGGGUUAAGUCCUCGAAGGAACUUACGGAUAAUCAUCAUCUCGUCCUCUCGACCAUAGUGGACAUACUUCCUGAGACGGGUGAAAUCUGCCUCCUACUUCCUAACAGAUAAUCCUCCCUGAACUAGCUCCAUGAAUUUAAUCUCCAAUCGAUCACGGGCUUCCGGUGGGAAGUACUUUCGAACGAACGCUGUACGAAAGCCAGCCCAACUCAGAUCGAAGUCUCCAAAGUUCCUCUCUACGCAUAACCACCAACUGAUGGCGUCCUUCUCUAGAUAGUAAACAGCCACGUCCUUUUUAAAUUCUUCCGGACAACGGGUUGCAGCAAAGUUCUGCUCGAGAUUGUGAAGCCACGCAUCAGCUUCAAAGGGAUCAGUGCCUCCCUGGUAAUGCUUCGUCCCCAAGUUCUUCAUAAUCAUGACUAUCUUCAGGAAGUCCGGGUGAAAAGUGGUAGGUACUGGAGCUGGCUGAGGACCUGUGCUUCUCGCUGUGCAUUCAAUGCUUGAUAUUGCAAAUUCACCAUCUCAGCCAUCAGUUCCAGAAGUGCUAUCAUAGCUGGAACGGUUGGCGCUGGUUGAGGUUGUGCUGCCGGAAUAGGUGUGGCAGGGGCCGGUGGAAUAUGAGCGGCAUGAGAUGCAGGAGUUGCGGGAUGAUCUCCAUGCACUGGACUAUCUUGUACCACAUCCACCUCGAUGUCCAUAAACUACGGGUCUGGAGACAAAGAAAUGUGCUCCGGUGUCUGAUCAUAUGACCCUUCAGACGGGUCAGUCUCAAAGCUAGAGCCUGAAGGUGUAGCCUCAAAUCUAGGAGUCGGAAGUGGUGCCGGAGUAGAUGGCGGCGAGGAGUCUGAAGAUGAUUGAAUAGGUAUCGGUAGAUAAUGUCCACCACAAUGUGCCUGUCUUGGUGGCAUCUGCAACAAAAGAUCAUGGUAAGUUUCUACCCAGGUCUAUCAAUUCCUAAAAGAAGGAACCAACCAGCAUAUCCUAAUUAUCCUUGCGACACAUUUUUGACUCGAAAGUUUUUUUUUUUUUUUUAAUACAAGUCCCAUUCUAGCAUCGUAUAACAAUGCUCUGAUACCACCUUUGUGACACCUCCGAUCGUAGAUAACCAGAAAUGACACGGUCGAUGUUCCCUGAUGGUCGACCCGAGGUUCUCGAAAUAAAUCCGAUCACCUUAGACCAACAGCCAAAGAACACAGACACUCCUAUCGGAUAUUACUAUAGGCUUUUCAACCCGAUAAAGCAAUAUUCGAUAGUUAUUUCGUCCCGGACAAGGACUAAUAUCAUAUGAGAACUCGUGAUUUAUAAACAUAUUUUAUACAUUAUUUAUUUACUUUAAACAUCUUACAAACUGUUAUAGUUUACCCUACGGCCUAUCGCCCAACAACGUUUUAAGUAAAUAUACAUCAAAACAUACGUUGCAAGGACAACAAAAUACUACCGCUGGUUGGCCGCUCUUUCCGUCCAAAAGAUUUAACUGUCUCCCGCCUAAGGGUUACCUGCACACACAAAUGAGUCAUGAGCAACUAGUUUACUCAGUGAAUCUUGAAUCACAACACAAUCAAUAAUAAAUCAAGCAAUUAUCAAAUGCAUAUACAUGAUCAUGCAAGUACUAGUACUAUACUUUAAUAUCGAUCACCAUUGUAAAUUAAUAUUUUUAAACAUCACUUCCACAACACCCGCCCGUUACCAUAAUCAUAUAAUACAAUAUAUAUACUAGACCCGAGAAACCACUAAGGCUAACCGAGACUAGUGAGUUAGCAUCACUGUUGGGGUCAAAAACGGUCGCGACGGAAUUACCACCCGAAAAUCCUCGGAGAUCGUAUUUCCGAAAGAGAUAGUAAAAGAAGGAUACAACUUUCGUAAAUUCCAUAAAAUAUAACCAAUACGAAGUUUUUACGAAGAAGUAUCCUUUGAGGUUCAAACCAAACAAACCAAGCUCGAUCACCACACAUACACGCCGUCCGGUCGCUAUACAGCAACCAAACCCGAGCCAAGCUUGGUCGCUACGUAGCGACCGAGCGUCCGUCCCGUUCGGUCUCUACGUAGUGACCGAGCUCAAGCCAAAGCUCCGUCGCUACGUAGCGACCGAGCGAUCGUCCCGCUCAGUCGCUACGUAAAAGCUCGGUCGCUAUGAAAAAGCUCGGUCGCUACGUAGCGACCAAGCUCAAGCCGAAGCUCGGUCGCUACGCAGCGACCGAGCGUUCGUCCCGCUCGGUCUCUACGUAGCGACGGAGCUCGAGCCGAAGCUCGGUCGCUACGUAGCGACCGAGCGCUUGUCCCGCUCGGUCGCUACGUAGCGACUGAGCUCAAGCCAAAACUCGGUCGCUACGUAGCGACCGAGCUCGAGCCGAAGCUUGGUCGCUACGUAGCGACCGAGCUCAAGCCAAAACUCGGUCGCUACGUAGCGACCGAGCGUUCGUCCCGCUCGGUUGCUACGUAGCGACCGGGCUCGAGCCGAAGUUUGGUCGCUGUGUAGCGACUGAACUCUUCUGGACAUCGACAGACAUCAAUCCAUGCAUUCUCGUCAAAUCUUCGAACGCUAUCUCCGGAAGAUCGUAGCAAGCUCAGUCCACGUUUUCCGCUAUUCCAACUCAUCGAUCAAACUUCAUGGAUGAGAAACCGCGGAAAAUUCGUAGUAAACGUCUCGAGUCGGAAGACGGCCCAAAGGGACCUAAAACACGACUCGAGGCCCAUCCUACGAUUUUUCCUAACCAAAAACCCGUAAACCACAGCAUGGUUCACGCUUGGUCCACGAGGAAGGAUAAAUGUCAAGUUUCCGCGGAUAAAUACAGAAGUUUUGAAGAUAAUUGUGAAGAUCGGGAAAAAUGGAAUAUCUCAAUUUUUUAUGCUAUGACGGCUUAAAGGCAGAAGAGUAAAAGCAUAAACCGACCAUGGAGCUAGUAUAUAAUAAGUCCUAGGCGAGGAGCAAGAGAGAGAAAUUUUUCCAGAGCAAACUCAGCACUUAGAGCAAUUUAGGCAAUUUUCCGUUUUUGUUAUUUCGAGCUGCGACUCAAUUAGGUUUAGCCGUCUUAGGGUUGCUAGAACUAGGAAUCUCGCCGACAGCUCUCGAGCCCAGGCUUAUACCUUGUUGUAAACGCUCAUACGCAGAUUCGGAAUAAGAUCUUCUUUGCUCUCUUUUUUCGAGUUCUGAUUUUUAUCGUUGUUAUUAUCGUGUUCUGAUUGCUUGACGUGUGGUAAUUAGCAGAUAUCCGGGUCCUCUGGAAAAUUAGGGUUUUCCUAGUUUCCUUAUUUAAACGGAAAUCGACGGUGUGAAUUUCGGUUCCCACAGUUUGGCGCUAGAAGGAGGGGGGGGUACGGAUCAAUCUAACCCACAAAAGCCACACAACUCUCAAUCAGACAUGUCAACUAACGACGCGGAUAACGUGAAAACUCCUCUUAACGGAGGCAGCGGCACCGAUCUCCAUACUCCAGUAGCGGACGUAUCUGCGGCCAACGCGCAAGCCAACGCCGCGACGCUCGAGGAGUUUAAAAAGAUGUUCGCCACCUAUGAGAAAAGGUCGGAAGAACAGGAUAAGCUCGUGAAUACCUUGACCAAACAGGUUGAAACUUUAACGGCAAGAACCCAAGCUAUCCGUCCCCGCGGAACCACCAAAAUCCACGGGAAGAGGCUCGACUUCGCCACCCCACUCGAUAGAGCAGGAGUCGCACGGGAACGACCUUCCGGUCAAAACCCUAGCGAGAAAUCUCCCAUCGAAAAGGGGAACCCUGAAAAUCUUCCGCCCCCUGCAAAGGACUCGGAGGAUAACGAAGCCGAACACAUUGACCUGGAUCCUAGCGAUGUCUCCAACGACACCGACGAGGAUGUCGACAGACAUCCAAGAAGGACCAGAAACCGAUCCCGUCGGGAAGGCUCCCCGUUCGAAAAACCAAUGACGGAAGAAGAAGAAGUCGCCUAUUGGAACGAACAAGAGGAGCUGGCCGAAAGGCAAACCGAGCUCACUCGCAGUAAACGCCGACAGGCUCGGAAAUCUACUGACGAGACAUCGGAUAUCUGCGAUCUUCGCGACUACAUCACUAAGCCUGCGGCAGAAGUGAGAGCCGUAAAGUCUCAAAUCCAUCAUGCUACUAGUGCUGCCCCUGAGAUUGAUCGACUGUUGGAAGGAGCUCGAAAGACCCCCUUUACCAGUCGAAUUUCGGAUAUGAGGGUGUCCGAUCCGGGAAAAAUCAAAGUACCGAAGUACGAUGGUACGGCUGAUCCAAAAGCACACCUUCAGGCUUUCCAUAUCGCGAUGGGAAGAGCAAGACUGAAGGACGGCGAAAAGGAUGCCGGCUAUUGCCGCCUGUUUGUCGAAAAUCUUGAAGGAGCAGCGCUCGAAUGGUUCGCACGCCUUCGUCGCAACACCAUCGGGAGUUUUCGACAGCUCGCAUCGGAAUUCCUCAAACAGUACUCUGUCAUAGACAAAGAAACUUCCGAUGUUGAUCUCUGGAGUCUCUCCCAGAGGAAAGACGAACCCCUCCGCGAGUUUAUCAGUCGGUUCAAGCUGAUAAUGUCCAGGGUCAGCGGGAUAAGCGACAAAGUGGCCAUCGACGCGCUGAGAAAGACGCUCUGGUACAAGUCGAAAUUCAGAAAGUGGAUAACUCUCGACAAACCGCGAACUAUCCAGGACGCCCUCCACAAAGCAACGGACUACAUCAUAGUCGAGGAAGAAACUAAAGUCUUAUCGCAAAAACAUAAGACGGCAAGACCAUCCUCGAAAGUUGCGGAUCCGAAAGGGAAAAAGAAGAACUCUCGUAACGACAAGUACGUCCAUCACAAGGGGGAAGAUCUCCAAGGGGCGCAUAACUAUGCGAUCAAUUCGGAUCAAGGCCGGACCACGGGCAACACAUGGACUCGCAUUCAACGGUACGACGAAAACACCUUCUGCGAGUUCCACCAAUCUCGAGGACACUCCACGACCAACUGCAAAGUCUUGGGAGCAAGACUGGCCGCGAAGUUACUCGCUGGAGAGCUUUCGGAAGUAACUAGCGUCAAGGAUCUCAUCCUCGAUUCUGAUCGGCCUCCAAAGACGGAUAUAAAUCCGCCCGCUGAAAAGUCCCCUCAACGAAACCAACCUGGGGAUAAACGCGGUAGGAGGCCGGAUGACAAAGGGAACGAUAACAAUCUUCGCAGAGUCAAUAUGAUCAUCGGAGGAUCACAAUACUGCGGCGAUACCGUGUCGGCCAUCAAGGCUUACCAACGGAAGGCAAAGUCGAGUGCAAAUUGGCCUACAUGGUCUCCUCCUCGAGACGGCCAAAGUUGCUCGAUCACCUUCACAGAGGAAGAAGCCAGCGGUAUCGACCAACCUCACUGCGACCCGCUCGUCAUAGAUCUCGUCAUACGAGAUUUAGAAGUCGGAAGGGUACUCGUCGACACGGGAAGCACAGUCAACGUAAUCUUCCGCGACACUCUCAAGUGGAUGAGCAUCGAACUCGGAGAAGUAAUUCCGACGCCAAAGCCGCUCACGGGUUUUUCAGGCGAAGUAUCGAUGACUCUCGGAUCAAUCCAAUUGUCAGUCAUGGCCAAGGAGAUCACGAAAAUCGUCGAGUUCGCGGUAAUCGAUCAUCCCGCUAUCUACAACGUGAUCAUGGGAACCCCAUGGCUCAACGCCAUGCAGGCAGUCCCGUCGACCUACCACCUGGGUCUCACUGCGACCCGCUCGUCAUAGAUCUCGUCAUACGAGAUUUAGAAGUCGGAAGGGUACUCGUCGACACGGGAAGCACAGUCAAGGUAAUCUUCCGCGACACUCUCAAGCGGAUGAGCAUCGAACUCGGAGAAGUAAUUCCGACGCCAAAGCCGCUCACGGGUUUUUCAGGCGAAGUAUUGAUGACUCUCGGAUCAAUCCAAUUGUCAGUCAUGGCCAAGGAGAUCACGAAAAUCGUCGAGUUCGCGGUAGUCGAUCAUCCCGCUAUCUACAACGUGAUCAUGGGAACCCCAUGGCUCAACGCCAUGCACGCAGUCCCGUCGACCUACCACCUGGGUCUCAAGUUCCCGACGCCGAGCGGAGUCGCGGCCAUCUGGGGAUGCCAAAAACAGUCGCGACUAUGCUUCCUCGCGGAGCACAAGUUAAGGCAAAUCACGGCUUCUGCAACUGCAAAUGGCAAACGCGCGAAGAUAGAUCGAUCUUCAGCCAAAAGCGCCCCGGGAAAAGACGAAUUAAAAUCGUCUACCGACGCAAAUGCAUCGGACGUCGAAGCUCGACACAAGUCCGAAGCCCACGCUACAACUCAACCGGAACAUCCGGAAAAUAGCGUUGACCCAGCCACGAUCGACACGGUCAAGGCGGACAUCGCGACAUCUACCGCCGAUUAAGAACACUCGCGGCAUGAAACAGAACUACGAGAUGGCUUGAUCCUCGAAAGGGGUACGUAGGCAGUUCGUCAAAAGACGAAUUCAGCUAUCCCCCUCUCUAAAAAGGGGGGGGGGAGUGGGUGCGUAUACUCGUAUACUCCCACUUAGAAAAAUCUUCGUUAUUGUAAUCGAGUUUUUAGAAACUUCAAACACUUUUACUACAAUAUACGUUGUCCUUUUUAUCGAAAACGUUUACGCUUCAGUAAAACACAAAAGAAACUUUCAGGACACGCCAGAAAACGUUAAGAAUCUUAUCUGCGGCCCCUUCCGGCCCAAAAAUCGUAAAGAUUAUCAUCUUUCAAACACACAAAAAUACAUGUACAAUCCUCGAAAUAACUGCGAGACGUCGCAAAAGUUAAAAUUUGAGGAUAAUAUUAACAAAUUGUCCGAACGCGACCACCAAAAACUUACACCCCGUUCGUCGUUUGGGCCCGACGAACACGCUAGCCGUCUUAAACAAACGCAAUUCGAUCACUCUUUCGAUCUUUAAAACGUCCAGCACAAGGACAAAAGCGCGCUACAACAAAAAUCCGAAAUUUUGGUUUAGCACUUCCAGUUAACUCUGAGAAGAUGCUCGAUUCGUACCAUACAAGUCAUAUAAGCCGAGAACCUAUCGCGGACUUUAAAUCGGUACGAGUCAGGAAGAAAUCGCAACAGGAAAAACGAUAGCCGGCUAGUCACCGCACAAACCUUAACCGAAAGUAAACCUAGGUCUUGCCCUAAACCCAACGCUCUGGUCUCAAACAUCUCAAGGCAUGAUAUCUAAAAGAUACGAGAUCCUAAACCAUGUCUCUCCGUUCGUAUCUCAAUGUUCUCGAAAAUCGUAAAAAUAAGUAAAUUUUUGCGAAACUCACGAACGAACCAACAGAUUGAACGUCUAAACAGAGCUAGAUAGGAGAUGACAACUCGUAUUUACUUCGACCUUGCUCAGGAAAACUCGAAACAAAACAUUCAUCAUAUAAAUAAACCGCGUAAGGCGGCAAGGGAUUCAAAGCCACCAACGGCCAGUCCCAGUAAAUACAAAUACGGCCAUCUAGGCCUAAGCAAAAUCCAAAUUCAAAAGGCCACACUCGGCCGAAAACAGAUAAAACAGAAAGACGAACAUAUUUCUUUCGAUAAACUACUCCACCGCUCAUAAUCCAAAGUCAAAGUCCCCGGACAACGAAGCACCGAACGCAUCCGCGGGACGAUCCACUUCCUCACCACCAUCGGGAAACCGGGUCGAAACCUCCUCGGUAUCAGGGGAAACCGGGAUGGGAUCCCAGAACCCUUGAAUCCGCUCGUCGAUCGGAGGUAUAAGCGCCUCAGCAUGGGCAUGAUCAUUCAUCCCACUCUUCAUCAAGCUCAUUUCGUCCUCGAACAUGUAGUCAUCGGCUUGCGUCCUCCAAAGGCUUCCAACCGAACCGCGACACUCACGAAGGUCACCCACCGAGGAAAAGGCAUUCUUGAGGUUCCCAUACUCAACCUGGAAUUGAGAGGCACAAGUCUUCACCACCUCGACGAUUUCCCUUUUGCCCUUCCUUUCCGCUUUGCGGAUAGCCCGCGCAUGAUCGCGAGUAAGUUGCGCCUCUCGCUCCAACAUCUCGCCUUGCACGCGAGCAAGAUCCCGCUCCGCUUUCUCCGCUUUGAAGCGGUAAACCCUGGCUUCUCUAUGACCCGCCUCAAUGGCCGAGCCCAGCAAGCUCAGGCCCUGCAAAAUCGAUUGACGUGUUAUAAACAUACAUGGGACAAUCGCCAAAAAAUUCAAAAAAAAACUAACCCCAUUGAUGAUGCGAGAUCCUUCCGCAACAACUCUCGGCCUCGCCGAUUCCUUCAUAGGAGGAGGAGCAUCGAAACCUGGCGGCAGAUCAGCAAAGAAAUCAUCGAAAUCCGGAAUAGGGACCUCGCUCGAACCACUCCCAUCGCCGUUAGCAAGGUUCGGAUCCCAUCCUGGAAGCAUAGAGUCAUCCAUCGAAAAUUCUAUGUCGCCAAGAUUGACAUCUUUCCCCUUCCAAGAGCUCGACUCCGGCACAGCUCUUGGAGCUUCGACGGGAUUCUGGUCAUCAGGUUCGGAGUCGCUUCCCGUGUCCGCAGCCAAAGCAGGACCGGGUUGCACAAAUCUUAGCGCCUUCCGAACCCUCUUC